rnacentral:lncRNA from 1 species
GCUGAGUUGAGCUCCCUCCCUUCUCCAGUACAGCAUAGCAGGAUUGUUCAUGUUCAUGAGGGCGAUGUGGUGCACUUCUGCACUGUGAAGCGCCAGUGCGCGAGUGUGUUCAACAGGUGUAAAAUAUGGGACUAUCAUCGGAUUUCUGGAUGUAAUUUAAUUUUACAUAAAUAAACCUGGUUUGCUAGUUACUCUAGCGUGAAGGAUGAAGAGGAUUAUGCCCUGCUUGCAAGAAUUGUCCGUAAUGAUUCAUCAUUUCAUUGCAUUGUGAGACUUUCUGCAUUUGUUAGUUAAGGGAGUUUAGAACAAGCUUGACAGCCCGAAGGACCGGUUGCACAAAAACCUACUCCCCGGCAUAAUACUACACAAAUGAGUUACUCCCGUCAAACCCCAAAUGAGUUACUCCACAGGGCUAAGCCGCCCAACAACACGAGCUGUUCGUCUCUAACUUAGAGACCAUAGAGUCGACAUGCGGGUGUUGAGCAUGCUUGAAGUGGACACGCCAGAGAUCGGCAUCAUCCCGGCAGCACUUGAGGGUGGUCACAAGCGACUGAGCAUUGUUUCGGAACACGACCUCGUUCCUUCUCUUCCAUAGACGCCAACAGCAAAGCAUCACGAAGGCGGACGGCGAGGCCGCCCCAACUGCAGGAGAGGCGUCGAACUGGUUGAGGGAGGCCACUGAGGCGCCGGCCGUUGUCAGCCCCAGACGUGUCCAGAAGCACACCGCGAACGGACAUCCGAAGAUGAGGUGAUCGGCAGUUUCCAGAGCUGCAGGGCAGCAGGGGCACCCAGCUUCCGCCGCGGUGAGAAUGGUCUUCCGCAGGCGUCCCGCGUGUGCACCCGCGCCAUGGUGAGCAGCCAACAGAAGAAGAUCCUCGCAUUGUGUUCAUUCCAAAUCUCUCAAGCAACAAGCAUGUUGAGCGAAGCCAUAGCCUUUUGGCAAGCGAGGCCAUCAUGCACAAUGCCAUACCAUCAAGAUUUGACGCCCAGGAAGCCAUGCCAAACGUCCUUGUAGCUGCAUGCUCCCCCACCUUAAUGGAGAAUCUGAACUUGAAGAGGAGGUGUGGUGCCGACUCCAAUACUUGGUUACGAAGUGGGCAGUUGCCGCAAUUUGGCCAACCCCGCCUCGUGAGACGAUCGGCCAUCCGCGACUAUUCUGCACGACUAGCCAAGCAAAAAACUUACACGCGGCGCCCAAUUCUUCCAGAUUGUGUGAUGCGGAGCAUCCCUCGCUCAUCCUCAUGGAUGCAUCUACAUCUCCUUCAACACCACGUGGACCCAUGACUUGAGCCCGCUCUAAGGCUAUCGAAGAUAAGGUGAACUCGCUCCUCUCCGAAAUCCCUCUUCCUACUCACGAGACAUGGCUACUACCUCAGACGGAAACUCUGUGUGUGAUCAGGUACAACGCUGAAGAAGAAGCGACAGGCGUCAACUUUCUGCUCAGCCCGGAACCUACCCGGAACCUGGCCCGGAACUUCCGGCCUGCCCGGAGCUUCCAGCCUCCUUCGACAUCGACCACCCCGGGCAUGCCAACUUUUUGCUUAGCCCGGAACCUGCCCGGAACCUGGCUCGGAACUUCCGGCCCCCGGAACCUCCGGCCUUGCCCGGAACUUCCGGCCCCCGGAAGCCAGCCCUGCUUCACCCGUGCCAACUUUCGGCUUAGACCGGACCCUGCCCGGAACCUCCGGCGCCUGGAACUUCCGGCCUGGCCCGGAACUUCUGGCCCUGCCUGCGCGCAGCCACUUGGGCCGAGGCCCGUGUACCCUUCCGCCCCGUAGACUAUAUAUACUCCCUCAUCCCGUAUGUUUUAGGGUUAGCAUUGGAUAGCUCAUAUUUGUGUGAGAGCCUUGCUCAUCCACUUGGAUACUUCUCCUCGGAGUUUAGGACCUCUUCGGAGAAGAUCCCCCAAGCGGAUUCAAGACCCCUUUCUAGGGAAGACCAUCAAGACCUCUGUACGGAGAAGAACGGUGCCUUUGUAUCCUUGCCUUUGUUGAUUGUGGAUCAUGUGUAUCUCUUUGUGUUCGGUGAUCUAGCACUUGUGUGAUUGAUUCUAUGUCGGUUUCGUGAUUCUCUCUCGUUCUCCCCGUGUUUUCCCCUUUGUGCUUCCGUGUGUUCUUCGUGAAUCUCCGUAGGAUCCUCUCCAAACGUGAAAGAUCGUCCAACUAGGGUUUUGCCCUACAUCAUAUGGUAUCAGAGCCACGUUGAUCACGUUUUUGGAGCCCCUACCCCUCUUUUUCUAGCUUGAUUUUGUUGUUUUCGUCCUAAAUCCGAAAAUCCCCACCAAAAAUAGCCCCAAUUUUUUUUGUGAUUUGUUGGUGAGUUGAGAUUUUGUUGGAUUUGAUCCAUGGAUUUGCUUUGUUUCGAGUGGAUCUAGCUUCCCUGCCCUUCCUCCCUUCUAAUUUCUUCUUUUCCCCCCUCGGAUUUGGGGGUUUUCCCAAGUUUUUCCGCCCAAAUCCGCGAUCUCGAAGUCUCUGCUUUUGGCAGAUUCCCGAACCCCGAACUUCCGGCCUUGCCCGGAACUUCCGGCCCCCGGACCUUCCGAUCAUCCCCGGAACUUCCGGACUCCGGAACUUCCGUCUUGCCCGGAACUUCCGGCCUAGACAGAACGGUUGCACUUCUUCGACACUUUCGCUACUUCGAAAACUUCGAUCACGGUGCAGCGGCAUCUUCGCCAACGUACUGAAGACCGUGCACUGCGUCCCCAUCUACUUCCGCAUCCGUUUCAACCUUCAACCGAAGCAAGGAUGGUAACAUCGACGACAUCUUUGUCAUACCUUGCAAUUGCAUUGAUAAUCCACAUUGCCUCAUUUUGCGUAGCUUACCUAUCGAGACUAGCCAUUGAGUAUUGCAGGCAACGUGACUUGUGCACAUUAGGGAUCAUACUCCAUAAGAAUACAUACCAUACCAUAGUGGUGCAUAUCUUGGGAUCCACUUGUGUGUCACAAAGUUGUCAUAGCAUACACAAUUGCUAUCUUGGUUCGUAAAGUUUUGCAUAAGAAAAGAGCUCAAAGAGUGAAAGAGCCACCCAAGCUUUUAAGCAAAGAGGAAAGAUAAGCAAAGAGCUUAUGAACAAGAACCAUAGCAUCAUACUGCAUUAAGAUUGUCAUAUUGGAUCAUCUUGGAUCAUUGCACCGAAAUACCAUACAUAUAGCAUACUUGGGAUAGAGAUAGUUGCAUUUUUGCCUAGUAGGUUGUGCACAAGUUUGCGUAUCCGCCUAUUGUGCAAUCGUGCUAGCGUCUCUCUAAUAUUGUGCAACAAGAGCAUUUUCGUGGUUUCCACAUUUUGGCUCACUUUUGGAUUGCACAAUCCCACUUAUCUAUUUGCGUGUAUGUUUCUGUGUACCCAUACUUGCUUGGUCUACUUGUUGCAUUUGCAAAUUUAUGAACCUUUUCCAACAUUAUUGAAGCUCACUUACUAUUGCAUCAAAUUUUGUGCCACCAUCCUAACCAAGCUCCACCAAAAGCUUUUUACGUGUGUAGGUGUGCGAACCGACAAGAAUUGGUACCAAAAGUGCUAUUUCAUUGUCCGCAUUGGAGUGAACUUGAUUCAUUUUCAACUUCGGUCAAGGUACAUUUGGUACACGUUCUUUUCCUUCGACCACUCACAUUUUAUUUGCAAUGAUGGAUAGGCCAAGUUCUUCUACAAAUCCACCUCUCAUCGAGAACGGCGACGACAUGUCAUCAUUCAUCACAAAGAGCCACCUUUUUGGUGCUCAAAGGGCGUUACACCAAGAGCAACAAGCUAUGAGCGACCGCAUCGACAACCUCGCCACCGACUUGCGACUCUCCGAGCAACGUGCAAGAGACUACUUCGACAACAAGUUCGACUCCCACAAGCAAGAGAAUGAUGCAAGAAUGGACGAGAUCCGCGCCUUGAUGAGGAACCGGCAUCAUUUCACUUCUUCACCCUCAAGACGGAGCCGCUCGAGUCGACACUCCGACGACACCUUCUCCGGCUCAAGUACACCGUCAUCGACCAUUCUUCGAUGAGCCGCGCGUCAAGACCGACAUGCAUCUCGGAACCCGCUACAUGACAAGCAUUCCCAAGAGCAAGUUGAUGAGCAAGUUCCUCGUCCUCAAUCAAACCAAGUCGCUUUUGCUCAAGCUCAAGAACGGCAAUGACUACGACGCCAAGAAGAAGAACGAGCACGCCUACACCAAGAGGAACAAGACGCCGAGGCUCAACGUCUUCAACAACAACAACGAGAAGCGCAAGCUCUUGAGGCGCAACGUGCCCUUCAAGAAUCAAGUCGAGCCAUCGCCAACCGCAAUCGCGAACGGCGCAAUCUAGAGGAAGCUCUUCGAGAAGAAAUCCAAGAGAGGAACUAUCAACCGAAUGUGUAAUGUCAAGCUCCACAAGCUCCUCCACAAGCUCGUCAAGAUCCACCUCAACCUGAAGUUCAACAAGAGCAAGUUGAUCAUGGUCUUCAUCCACGACAAGAGCAACAUGAGGAUGACUAUCCUCCACGUCAAGGGCGUCAUCAUCACCAUCGCCAACAACACAAUGAAGAGCAACGCUACGGAAAACUCAAAUUCACAAUGCCCAAGUUCAACGGAAGCAAUGAUCCCGAAGAAUACCUCUCAUGGGCAUUGAAGGUCGACAAAAUUUUCCGCUUGCACAACUAUGAGGAAGAGAAGAAGAUCGCUAUGGCAUCACUUGAGUUCCAAGACUAUGUGCUCAUAUGGUGGGAACAAGUCCUUGAGCGCCGUGAAGCAAGAGAUGAACCACCUAUCACCACUUGGGCUCAAAUGAAGGAAGUCAUGCGAGCACGUUUUAUGCCAACCUACUACAACCGCGAUCUCUUCAAGAAGCUACAACUCCUCAAGCAAGGAAAAAAGAGUGUUGAAGAAUACUACAAGGAAAUGGAGAUUGCCAUGAUUCGAGCCAAUGUCAUGGAAGAUGAUGAGCAAACAAUAGCACGUUUCUUGAAUGGUCUCAAUCAUCCCAUCAAGAAGAUUGCCGACUUCCAACCCUACUCCAACUUCAUUGAGCUCGUGCAUCAAGCUACAAAAGCGGAAUGUCAAGUGCAAGAUGACUUCAAGUACGCCAAGUACUCAUCCAGGACAUACGGUUUCUCCAACAUCCAAGCUUCAACAACUCCUCCAACAUCUACGUCAACCAAACCUUCUCCAAGCAAUGACGACAAGUCAAGUUACAAGAAAACUUCGUCAAGUUCAAGUCAUCUUCCUCCUAAUACAAGCAACUUCAAGCCGCGUGCUUCAUCUUCUACUCCAACCGAUGAGACCGUCAAGACAAGCUCCUUCAAGUGUUUCACUUGCGGCGGCCGAGGCCACAAGUCCUAUCAAUGCAUGAACAAGCGCACCAUGAUCCUCAACGAAGAUGGCACAUAUGACUCCAUGAGUGAAGAGGAGAUGGAAGCCCUUGAGCAAGUGGCCAUGCACCGGCGCGUGAACGAGGAUGAAGAUGAUCAAGUCUUUUGUGAUGAGGAUUCGAGCCCCGCUCUCGUUGUCUCCAAGGUCUUGACUCUUCAACAUCAACAAGAAGAAGACCAACGAUGCCACAUCUUCCACACAAAGGCCGGCAUCAAUGGAAGGUCCGUCAAGGUCAUCAUCGAUGGAGGUAGUUGCCACAACUUGGCAAGUGAAGAACUAUGCUCCAAGCUUCAAUUGGUCAAGAGGAAGCACCCACACCCCUACAAGGUUCAAUGGCUGUGACUCCGGCACUAUACGAGUUGAGCAUACGGUCCAAGUAUCCUUCAAAAUUGGUGCUUAUGAAGACACUUUGGAGUGUGAUGUGGUCCCAAUGACAGUUUGCCACCUCCUUCUUGGUCGACCAUGGCAAUUCGACCGUGGGGUCAUCCAUAAUGGGCGCACCAAUCACUAUAGCUUCAAGAUGAAAGGGAAGGAAUACAUGCUACGACCUAUGUCUCCUAAUCAAGUGAUAGCCGACAAGCAAGCCACCAAUCAUGGAGGGAAGAGUGAAAAAGUGAUCCAACCAAAAGUGAGUGAGAGCCACAAGCCAAACUUGAGCGCCUCUUCACCUAGAGAGAAAAAUCUAAUCCUAUUUGCCACCAAAAGUGAGAUGAGAGAAGUGUGUGAGGACCCAUCGAGUGUGAGUCACUUUGUCCUUGUGUGCAAGGAUGGAGAACCAAAAACUAACACCAUUCACGAGCUACCGUUGGUGUUUCAAUCUCUUUUGCAGGAAUUCCAAGAUGUUUUCCCCGAUGAGCUGCCUCCGGGUCUACCUCCUCUUCGAGGAAUUGAGCAUCGAAUCGACCUCAUCCCCGGAGCGCCACUUCCAAACAAGGCUCCAUACCGUGUCAAUCCCGAAGAAACCAAGGAGAUUCAACGGCAAGUACAACAACUAAUCGACAACGGUCAUGUACGUGAAAGCUUAAGCCCUUGUGCCGUUCCCGUUAUACUUGUGCCUAAGCCCGAUGGAAGUUUUCGAUUAUGUUCCGAUUGUAGACCCAUAAAUGCUAUUACCAUUCGCUAUAGGCAUCCCAUUCCUCGCUUAGAUGGUAUGCUUGAUGAACUUAGUGGAGCCAACUUUUUCUCAAAAAUUGAUCUUAAAAGUGGCUAUUAUCAAAUCCGCAUCCAAGAAGGUGAUGAAUGGAAAACUGCUUUCAAAACCAAAAUUUGGCUUGUAUGAGUGGUUAGUGAUGCCUAUGGGUUUGUCGGAAGCACCCGGAACUUUCGUGCGUCAUAUGCAUCAUGUGCUUAGACCUUAUAUUGGAAUCUUAGUUGUGGUUUACUUUGAUGAUAUUCUUGUGUUUAGCAAAACCAUGAAAGAGCACAUUAAUCAUGUAAAAUCUGUUUUGCAAACUCUUCGCAAGGAAAGCCUUUAUGAGAACUUGGAAAAAUGCACUUUUGGCGUUGACAAAGUGGUUUUCUUGGGUUUCGUUGUCUCUUCCAAGGGUUUCCAUGUUGAUGUAACUAAAAUUGAAGCAAUUAAAACUUGGCCCCAACCCACCAAUUUGCAACAAGUGCGGAGUUUUCUUGGUUUUGCAGGAUUUUAUCGCCGCUUUGUGAAAAACUUUAGCACAAUUGCCGCUCCUUUACAUGCUUUGAGUAAGAAGAAUACUCCUUUUGUUUGGGGAUCUUUGCAAUCCAACGCUUUUGAUGAGCUCAAGUCUUUGCUUACUCAUGCACCGAUUCUUGCUUUACCCAACUUUCGAAAAACUUUUGAGGUUCAUUGUGAUGCAAGUGGUACCGGAAUUGGCGGAGUUUUGAUGCAAGAAAAACAAGACAUAGCUUAUUUUAGUGAAAAACUCUCCGGUGCUCAACUUAACUAUCCCAUCUAUGACAAAGAAUUAUAUGCUUUAGUGUGUGUCCUACAUGUUUGGGAACAUUAUCUUAGACCUCAUGAGUUUGUCAUCCAUACCGAUCAUGAAACACUUAAGUACUUAAAAGGUCAAACUAAGUUGAACAAGCGUCAUGCCAAAUGGAGUGAAUUUAUUGAAUAUUUCCCAUAUGUGAUCAAGUACAUUAAGGGUAAGGAGAAUGUAGUUGCCGAUGCACUUUCACGCAUAUGUACGCUUGUCACUAAACUUGAGUUGAAUGUUAUUGGCUUUGAGCACAUAAAAGACUUGUAUGCUAAUGAUCCAUCUUUUGCACCUCAUUAUGCUAAAUGUUUGACGCAUACAUCUUGGGAACAAUAUUACAUCAAGGAUGGUUAUCUUAUGAGAGCUAACAAACUAUGCAUUCCCGAGUCUUCUCUUCGUUUACUCCUUUUGCAAGAGGCUCAUGGAGGUGGACUCAUGGGACACUUUGGACGCGACAAGACUUUCGCCACGCUCUCCAAGAACUACUUUUAGCCCAAGAUGUUCCGCGACGUCUCACGCUUCACCACCCGAUGCUCUACAUGUCGCAAAGCUAAGUAUAAAGCUCAAUCUCAUGGUCUUUACAUGCCUCUUCCUAUUCCUUAUCAACCAUGGGAAGACAUUAGUAUGGAUUUUGUACUUGGUUUGCCUAGGACUCAAAAUGGAAGGGAUUCCGUGUUUGUCGUUGUGGACAGAUUUUCUAAAAUGACACAUUUCAUUCCUUGCAACAAGAUAGACGAUGCUUCACAUAUUGCCAAUCUAUUUUGUAGGGAAAUCCUGCGACUUCAUGGAGUGCCAAAGACAAUUGUCUCGGACCGCGACGUCAAGUUCUUGAGUUACUUUUGGAAGACCCUAUGCGCCAAGCUCGGCAUCAAGCUAUUGUUCUCUUCGGCAUACCAUCCUCAAACCGAUGGCCAAACGGAGGUGACAAACCGUACACUCUCCACUCUACUUCGCGUGUUGAUCAAGAGGAACAUCAAGGAGUGGGAAGAGUGCCUACCCAUCGCCGAGUACGCCUACAACCGUGCAAGACAUUCGACGACCGGCAAGUCCCCCUUCGAGGUCGUCUACGGCUUCAACCCAUUGUCCCCAUUGGACAUUCUACCUCUUCCUCUACAAGAGAAAACCAACCUCGAUGCAAGUGCCCGUGCAAGCUACAUCAAGAAGAUGCAUGAAGAUACAAGGCACACCAUCAAGUGACAAACACAACGACUAGCGACCAAGCUCAACGUCAACAAGCAACCCAUGGUCUUCAACAUUGGUGAUCUAGUGUGGAUACACCUUCGCAAGGACCGCUUCCCCAUCGAACGCAAGUCCAAGCUUCUCCCUCGAGCCGACGGACCUUUCAAGGUGCUAGCAUGCUACAACGACAACGCCUACAAGAUUGACCUACCUCGAGACAAGUAUAAUGUGAGCGACAUCUUCAACGUCAAGGACCUCGCACCUUACCAUGGAGAUGAAGUUUUUGAUCCGAGGUCGGAUCUCUCCCAAAGGGGAGGAGAUGAUGCAGAGCAUCCCUCCCUCAUCCCCAUGGACGCAUCUACGUCUCCUUCAACACCACGUGGACCCAUGACUCGAGCCCGCUCUAAGGCUAUCGAAGAUAAGGUGAACUCGCUCCUCUCCGAAAUCCCUCUUCCUACUCACGAGACAUGGCUACUACCUCAGACGGAAACUCUGUGUGUGAUCAGGUACAACGCUGAAGAAGAAGCGAUAGGCGUCAACUUUCUGCUCAGCCCGGAACCUGCCCGGAACCUGGCCCAGAACUUCCGGCCCCCAGAACUUCUGGCCUGCCCGGAGCUUCCGGCCUCCUUCGACAUCGACCACCCCGGGCAUGCCAACCUUCUGCUUAGCCCGGAACCUGGCCCGGAACUUCCGGCCCCCGGAACCUCCGGCCUUGCCCGGAACUUCCGGCCCCCGGAAGCCAGCCCUGCUUCACCCGUGCCAACUUUCGGCUUAGACCGGACCCUGCCCGGAACCUCCGGCGCCCGAAACUUCCGGCCUGGCCCGGAACUUUCGGCCUGGCCCGGAACUUCUGGCCCUGCCUGUGCGCAGCCACUUGGGCCGAGGCCCGUGUACCCUUCCGCCCCGUAGACUAUAUAUACUCCGUCAUCCCGUACGUUUUAGGGUUAGCAUUGGAUAGCUCAUAUUUGUGUGAGAGCCUUGCUCAUCCACUUGGAUACUUCUCCUCGGAGUUCAGGACCUCUUCGGAGAAGAUCCCCCAAGCGGAUUGAAGACCCCUUUCUAGGGAAGACCAUCAAGACCUCUAUACGGAGAAGAACGGUGCCUUUGUAUCCUUGCCUUUGUUGAUUGUGGAUCAUGUGUAUCUCUUUGUGUUCGGUGAUCUAGCACUCGUGUGAUUGAUUCUAUGUCGGUUUCAUGAUUCUCUCUCGUUCUCCCUGUGUUUUCCCCUUUGUGCUUCCGUGUGUUCUUCGUGAAUCUCCGUAGGAUCCUCUCCAAAUGUGAAAGAUCGUCCAACUAGGGUUUUGCCCUACAUCAUUGUGGUUUUGAAGCUCCUUGUCGUGGCACCAAUGAGGUGCCACCUAUGCCAAGGCCAUGGAAUAGGGACCCAAGGCGGUUAACUUUCAAGUAAUGGUGUCAGCUGUCGUGAAGAUGGGACAGAAGUGUCCAAAGCAAAGUAAAUUACUGGAUGUGCAACACUGUGGGUCCAUUUGACAAACUGAUUUGGUCCACCCAGGCUCAUCAUUUGUUGCUUUUGGAUAUGUCAAUAAUAAGAGAUACAAUGUGCUUUGGCCUUAGUCCCUCCAGCCAAGCCAAUUCUGAGAAGCUCGCCUUGUUUCCAUCUCCAACGGCGAGCUUAGUAAGCCCAUGAAACACGUCCAUGUCCUGUCCGUCGCAUGGGUUCCGGUGCCAACCCACAUUUUUGCCGGCGCUUCCUUAAAGCCACGACCAUCCCAGGUGGAGCGGCGAGCAACUUGUCAAGGUGCAAGAUCUCAAGGUCUCCAAAGUCGACGGGGCGGCACACCGCCAUCCAAAUAACUUUGCACUUGGCACCAGAGACCUGGUUGGAGCCGACCCAAAAGAAUGCCCUACAGAUCUUGUUAAUGGCUUGUAACAUCCCCACCGUUAUGCCGAGCAAUGUGGUGUGGUAGAUUGUGAUGGCGAUGAUGGCCAACUUGACCUAGGCAGUAUGGCCCGCCGUUGUGUAGUGUUCUCCUUAUGGGGGUGGGGCAACUUGCCAGCGAAUUGGUCCUUGAGAUGCUAGAAUUGGAUCCGCAUUAGGCGCUUGACCAAUAGGGGUAGCCCGUGGCGCAUUGGAAAGGUCAAUCUCACAACCAGGAGGGUUUGCAUGAUAUCCUCAACAUCCAAGCCACCGCAAAGAAGGUUUUUUGAAAGUUCGUAACAAGCCCGAUGACCUCCCCAAAGCUCUGGAGAAUGUUGGAGACUGUCUGAAUGUCUUCUUUGGUAGGCACAACAAAAAUGGCAGGGUCAUCCGGUUGGAGCGAAGUCAAAAAUUGCCCACCCUCCCUCCCAAGUCAUGGAGGAGUCCCUGCUCGGUGGCUAGCUGAAGCACUCGUUGGAGGUCGUCAAUGGCGACGACGAAGAGCAAUUGGAGAGAGGUUCUCCUUGCCGGAGGCCGCGGUUGUGCCUUCCUCAGGGACGCCAUUGAGAAGGACAUAAUAUGUUUAGGCAAGAGAAGGGCGGAAUCCAGUCAUGGUACCUCAGGGGGAACCCACAUGUCUAAAGAAGGUCGAAUAUGUAGUUUCAAUGCACGAAGUAGAACACCUUGUUGAUGUCAAGAUUUAGGAGAAGAGGCGGUUUCUUUUGCCUAUGGAGCUGAAGUUGUCUGGGAUGCUCCGACAUUUGAGGAAGGCACUUUGCGCAUUGGAGACCAAGUCAUUCAUGUGUGGAGCAAGCCUUUGCCCUCCUUUGGUAGGAGGACAAUGUUCACCGAAUCAAACCAUUGAAAGUGAGUUGUUUGCGUAUUAUAUAAGUGGUUGAUGAUCCUCAUAGCAUCCUCCUUGAUACUAUCCCAAUAACUCUGGAAGAACUCCAUGGUGAACCCAUCCGGGACUGGCACCUUAUGAGAGAGGAGGUUGUUGAUGGCGGUCUUGACCUCUUCUUCCGAGAAAGGGUCAUCGAGACCGCGUAGGUUUUCCGGGGGAGGUUCAAAGCUUUCCAGUUUAAGUACAAAUGUGAGGUGACCCAUCCACCAUGUGGCACAAUAUAUGGAUGAAAAUUUUGGUGCCUCCCAUUGACGCUAAGAUGGAAGAAUCCCAUGUCUGCAUUCCCCAUAGUGCAAAUUAUCGAUGUAGGCACAUUAUUUCUUUCUAGCCCUCUCGAGCACCGCAAGGGCGAUGAAGUGUUGCUUAAACCUUGUCCUAAUAUCUCUCUCGGCCAACAAUACUAGUUGUUUCUCCAUAGCAAUAUCAAAUCGAAGGAUGACCUCAAGGUCCAUGUGUAGCUAGACCUUGUGGUUGGAGAAGAUAUACUCGCCCCACAGCUUAUGGCGCCAGACCAUGCACUACAAUUUGUGGAACAUACGCUGGCAAGACUCGGUGUGGACAGAUGGCUCAUUCCACGUGUUUUGCACAAACCUCAGAGAACCACAGGAUGUGUAGCCAGAAGCUCUUAAAUCUGAAGGAUCGAGGUCUCUUCGGACACAGUUGCUAGCAAGAAGUAAGGGCAGUGGUCCAAGAGGGAUGAAGAGAGUGCGUGCAUGAUGUGAUCACCAAAUAUUCAGCCGAGGUCUCCCGAUUGUAGCCAAUUUCUUCUCCUUUUCUCUUACCAUGGACACCAAUGUCUUCUUAUCAGUCUCCAAAUGUAGCUUUGGACAUUGAUCUCCGUCGCUAACUGAACAACACGUUUGCACGCUAAGAUAUCCACCACCUCCGAUUCGAAAGCAUCAACAGAGCUAUGUUAUAAGCUUAUCACUCUACUCUGGUAAAUAAUCUUUAGGGCACAUAUGACUCCAUGAGUGAAGAGGAGAUGGAAGCCCUUGAGAAAGUGGCCAUGCACCGGCGCGUGAACGAGGAUGAAGAUGAUCAAGUCUUUUGUGAUGAGGAUUCGAGCCCCGCUCUCGUUGUCUCCAAGGUCUUGACUCUUCAACAUCAACAAGAAGAAGACCAACGAUGCCACAUCUUCCACACAAAGGCCGGCAUCAAUGGAAGGUCCGUCAAGGUCAUCAUCGAUGGAGGUAGUUGCCACAACUUGGCAAGUGAAGAACUAUGCUCCAAGCUUCAAUUGGUCAAGAGGAAGCACCCACACCCCUACAAGGUUCAAUGGCUAAGUGACUCCGACACUAUACGAGUUGAGCAUACGGUCCAAGUAUCCUUCAAAAUUGGUGCUUAUGAAGACACUUUGGAGUGUGAUGUGGUCCCAAUGACAGUUUGCCACCUCCUUCUUGGUCGACCAUGGCAAUUCGACCGUGGGGUCAUCCAUAAUGGGCGCACCAAUCACUAUAGCUUCAAGAUGAAAGGGAAGGAAUACAUGCUACGACCUAUGUAUCCUAAUCAAGUGAUAGCCGACAAGCAAGCCACCAAUCAUGGAGGGAAGAGUGAAAAAGUGAUCCAACCAAAAGUGAGUGAGAGCCACAAGCCAAACUUGAGUGCCUCUUCACCUAGAGAGAAAAAUCUAAUCCUAUUUGCCACCAAAAGUGAGAUGAGAGAAGUGUGUGAGGACCCAUCGAGUGUGAGUCACUUUGUCCUUGUGUGCAAGGAUGGAGAACCAAAAACUAACACCAUUCACGAGCUACCGUUGGUGUUUCAAUCUCUUUUGCAGGAAUUCCAAGAUGUUUUCCCCGAUGAGCUGCCUCUGGGUCUACCUCCUCUUCGAGGAAUUGAGCAUCGAAUCAACCUCAUCCCCGGAGCGCCACUUCCAAACAAGGCUCCAUACCGUGUCAAUCCCGAAGAAACCAAGGAGAUUCAACGGCAAGUACAACAACUAAUCGACAACGGUCAUGUACGUGAAAGCUUAAGCCCUUGUGCCGUUCCCGUUAUACUUGUGCCUAAGCCCGAUGGAAGUUUCCGAUUAUGUUCCGAUUGUAGACCCAUAAAUGCUAUUACCGUUCUCUAUAGGCAUCCCAUUCCUCGCUUAGAUGGUAUGCUUGAUGAACUUAGUGGAGCCAACUUUUUCUCAAAAAUUGAUCUUAAAAGUGGCUAUUAUCAAAUCCGCAUCCAAGAAGGUGAUGAAUGGAAAACUGCUUUCAAAACCAAAUUUUGGCUUGUAUGAGUGGUUAGUGAUGCCUAUGGGUUUGUCGGAAGCACCCGGAACUUUCGUGCGUCUUAUGCAUCAUGUGCUUAGACCUUAUAUUGGAAUCUUAGUUGUGGUUUACUUUGAUGAUAUUCUUGUGUUUAGCAAAACCAUGAAAGAGCACAUUAAUCAUGUAAAAUCUGUUUUGCAAACUCUUCGCAAGGAAAGCCUUUAUGCGAACUUGGAAAAAUGCACUUUUGGCGUUGACAAAGUGGUUUUCUUGGGUUUCGUUGUCUCUUCCAAGGGUGUCCAUGUUGAUGAAACUAAAAUUGAAGCAAUUAAAACUUGGCCCCAACCCACCAAUUUGCAACAAGUGAGGAGUUUUCUUGGUCUUGCAGGAUUUUAUCGCCGCUUUGUGAAAAUUUUUAGCACAAUUGCCGCUCCUUUACAUGCUUUGAGUAAGAAGAAUACUCCUUUUGUUUGGGGAUCUUUGCAAUCCAACGCUUUUGAUGAGCUCAAGUCUUUGCUUACUCAUGCACCGAUUCUUGCUUUACCCAACUUUGGAAAAACUUUUGAGGUUCAUUGUGAUGCAAGUGGUACCGGAAUUGGCGGAGUUUUGAUGCAAGAAAAACGAGCCAUAGCUUAUUUUAGUGAAAAACUCUCCGGUGCUCAACUUAACUAUCCCAUCUAUGACAAAGAAUUAUAUGCUUUAGUGCGUGUCCUACAUGUUUGGGAACAUUAUCUUAGACCUCAUGAGUUUGUCAUCCAUACCGAUCAUGAAACACUUAAGUACUUAAAAGGUCAAACUAAGUUGAACAAGCGUCAUGCCAAAUGGAGUGAAUUUAUUGAAUCUUUCCCAUAUGUGAUCAAGUACAUUAAGGGUAAGGAAAAUGUAGUUGCCGAUGCACUUUCACGCAUAUGUACGCUUGUCACUAAACUUGAGUUGAAUGUUAUUGGCUUUGAGCACAUAAAAGACUUGUAUGCUAAUGAUCCAUCUUUUGCACCUCAUUAUGCUAAAUGUUUGACGCAUACAUCUUGGGAACAAUAUUACAUCAAGGAUGGUUAUCUUAUGAGAGCUAACAAACUAUGCAUUCCCGAGUCUUCUCUUCGUUUACUCCUUUUGCAAGAGGCUCAUGGAGGUGGACUCAUGGGACACUUUGGACGCGACAAGACUUUCGCCACGCUCUCCAAGAACUACUUUUAGCCCAAGAUGUUCCGCGACGUCUCACGCUUCACCACCCGAUGCUCUACAUGUCGCAAAGCUAAGUAUAAAGCUCAAUCUCAUGGUCUUUACAUGCCUCUUCCUAUUCCUUAUCAACCAUGGGAAGACAUUAGUAUGGAUUUUGUACUUGGUUUGCCUAGGACUCAAAAUGGAAGGGAUUCCGUGUUUGUCGUUGUGGACAGAUUUUCUAAAAUGACACAUUUCAUUCCUUGCAACAAGAUAGACGAUGCUUCACAUAUUGCCAAUCUAUUUUGUAGGGAAAUCCUGCGACUUCAUGGAGUGCCAAAGACAAUUGUCUCGGACCGCGACGUCAAGUUCUUGAGUUACUUUUGGAAGACCCUAUGCGCCAAGCUCGGCAUCAAGCUAUUGUUCUCUUCGGCAUACCAUCCUCAAACCGAUGGCCAAACAGAGGUGACGAACCGUACACUCUCCACUCUACUUCGCGUGUUGAUCAAGAGGAACAUCAAGGAGUGGGAAGAGUGCCUACCCAUCGCCGAGUACGCCUACAACCGUGCAAGACAUUCGACGACCGGCAAGUCCCCCUUCGAGGUCGUCUACGGCUUCAACCCAUUGUCCCCAUUGGACAUUCUACCUCUUCCUCUACAAGAGCAAACCAACCUCGAUGCAAGUGCCCGUGCAAGCUACAUCAAGAAGAUGCAUGAAGAUACAAGGCACACCAUCAAGUGACAAACACAACGACUAGCGACCAAGCUCAACAUCAACAAGCAACCCAUGGUCUUCAACAUUGGUGAUCUAGUGUGGCUACACCUUCGCAAGGACUGCUUCCCCAUCGAACGCAAGUCCAAGCUUCUCCCUCGAGCCGACGGACCUUUCAAGGUGCUAGCAUGCUACAACGACAACACCUACAAGAUUGACCUACCUCGAGACAAGUACAAUGUGAGCGACAUCUUCAACGUCAAGGACCUCGCACCUUACCAUGGAGAUGAAGUUUUUGAUCCGAGGUCGGAUCUCUCCCAAAGGGGAGGCGAUGAUGCAGAGCAUCCCUCCCUCAUCCCCAUGGACGCAUCUACAUCUCCUUCAACACCACGUGGACCCAUGACUCGAGCCCGCUCUAAGGCUAUCGAAGAUAAGGUGAACUCGCUCCUCUCCGAAAUCCCUCUUCCUACUCACGAGACAUGGCUACUACCUCAGACGGAAACUCUGUGUGUGAUCAGGUACAACGCUGAAGAAGAAGCGACAGGCAUCAACUUUCUGCUCAGCCUGGAACCUGCCCGGAACCUGGCCCGGAACUUUCGGCCCCCGGAACUUCCGGCCUGCCCGGAGCUUCCGGCCUCCUUCGACAUCGACCACCCCGGGCAUGCCAACUUUCUGCUUAGCCCGGAACCUGCCCGGAACCUGGCCCGGAACUUCCGGCCCCCGGAACCUCCGGCCUUGCCCGGAACUUCCGGCCCCCGGAAGCCAGCCCUGCUUCACCCGUGCCAACUUUCAGCUUAGACCGGACCCUGCCCGGAACCUCCGGCGCCCGGAACUUCCGGCCUGGCCCGGAACUUUCGUCCUGGCCCGGAACUUCCGGCCCUGCCUGUGCGCAGCCACUUGGGCCGAGGCCCGUGUACCCUUCCGCCCCGUAGACUAUAUAUACUCCCUCAUCCCGUACGUUUUAGGGUUAGCAUUGGAUAGCUCAUAUUUGUGUGAGAGCCUUGCUCAUCCACUUGGAUACUUCUCCUCGGAGUUCAGGACCUCUUCGGAGAAGAUCCCCCAAGCGGAUUCAAGACCCCUUUCUAGGGAAGACCAUCAAGACCUCCGUACGGAGAAGAACGGUGCCUUUGUAUCUUGCCUUUGUUGAUUGUGGAUCAUGUGUAUCUCUUUGUGUUCGGUGAUCUAGCACUCGUGUGAUUGAUUCUAUGUCGGUUUCGUGAUUCUCUCUCGUUCUCCCCGUGUUUUCCCCUUUGUGCUUCCGUGUGUUCUUCGUGAAUCUCCGUAGGAUCCUCUCCAAAUGUGAAAGAUCGUCCAACUAGGGUUUUUCCCUACAUCAUUGUGGUUUUGAAGCUCCUUGUCGUGGCACCAAUGAGGUGCCACCUAUGCCAAGGCCAUGGAAUAGUGACCCAAGGCGGUUAACUUUCAAGUAAUGGUGUCAGCUGUCAUGAAGAUGGGACAGAAGUGUCCAAAGCAAAGUAAAUUACUGGAUGUGCAACACUGUGGGUCCAUUUGACAAACUGAUUUGGUCCACCCAGGCUCAUCAUUUGUUGCUUUUGGAUAUGUCAAUAAUAAGAGAUACAAUGUGCUUUGGCCUUAGUCCCUCCAGCCAAGCCAAUUCUGAGAAGCUCGCCUUGUUUCCAUCUCCAACGGCGAGCUUAGUAAGCCCAUGAAACACGUCCAUGUCCUCUCCGUCGCAUGGGUUUCGGUGCCAACCCACAUUUUUGCCGGCGCUUCCUUAAAGCCACGACCAUCCCAGGUGGAGCGGCGAGCAACUUGUCAAGGUGCAAGAUCCCAUGGUCUCCAAAGUCGACGGGGCGGCACACCGCCAUCCAAAUAACUUUGCACUUGGCACCAGAGACCUUGUUGGAGCCGGCCCAAAAGAAUGCCCUACAGAUCUUGUUAAUGGCUUGUAACAUCCCCACCGUUAUGCCGAGCAAUGUGGUGUGGUAGAUUGUGAUGGCGAUGAGGGCCAACUUGACCUAGGCAGUAUGGCCCACCGUUGUGUAGUGUUCUCCUUACGGGGGUGGGGCAACUUGCCAGUGAAUUGGUCCUUCAGAUGCUAGAAUUGGAUCCGCAUUAGGCGCUUGACCAAUAGGGGUAGCCCGUGGCGCAUUGGAAAGGUCAAUCUCACAACCAGGAGGGUCUGCAUGAUAUCCUCAACAUCCAAGCCACCGCAAAGAAGGUUUUUUGAAAGUUCGUAACAAGCCCGAUGACCUCCCCAAAGCUCUGGAGAAUGUUGGAGACUGUCUGAAUGUCUUCUUUGGUAGGCACAACAAAAAUGGCAGGGUCAUCCGGUUGGAGCGAAGUCAAAAAUUGCCCACCCUCCCUCCCAAGUCAUGGAGGAGUCCCUGCUCGGUGGCUAGCUGAAGCACUCGUUGGAGGUCGUCAAUGGCGACGACGAAGAGCAAUUGGAGAGAGGUUCUCCUUGCCGGAGGCCGCGGUUGUGCCUUCCUCAGGGACGCCAUUGAGAAGGACAUAAUAUGUUUAGGCAAGAGAAGGGCGGAAUCCAGUCAUGGUACCUCAGGGGGAACCCACAUGUCUAAAGAAGGUCGAAUAUGUAGUUUCAAUGCACGAAGUAGAACACCUUGUUGAUGUCAAGAUUUAGGAGAAGAGGCGGUUUCUUUUGCCUAUGGAGCUGAAGUUGUCUGGGAUGCUCCGACAUUUGAGGAAGGCACUUUGCGCAUUGGAGACCAAGUCAUUCAUGUGUGGAGCAAGCCUUUGCCCUCCUUUGGUAGGAGGACAAUGUUCACCGAAUCAAACCAUUGAAAGUGAGUUGUUUGCGUAUUAUAUAAGUGGUUGAUGAUCCUCAUAGCAUCCUCCUUGAUACUAUCCCAAUAACUCUGGAAGAACUCCAUGGUGAACCCAUCCGGGACUGGCACCUUAUGAGAGAGGAGGUUGUUGAUGGCGGUCUUGACCUCUUCUUCCGAGAAAGGGUCAUCGAGACCGCGUAGGUUUUCCGGGGGAGGUUCAAAGCUUUCCAGUUUAAGUACAAAUGUGAGGUGACCCAUCCACCAUGUGGCACAAUAUAUGGAUGAAAAUUUUGGUGCCUCCCAUUGACGCUAAGAUGGAAGAAUCCCAUGUCUGCAUUCCCCAUAGUGCAAAUUAUCGAUGUAGGCACAUUAUUUCUUUCUAGCCCUCUCGAGCACCGCAAGGGCGAUGAAGUGUUGCUUAAACCUUGUCCUAAUAUCUCUCUCGGCCAACAAUACUAGUUGUUUCUCCAUAGCAAUAUCAAAUCGAAGGAUGACCUCAAGGUCCAUGUGUAGCUAGACCUUGUGGUUGGAGAAGAUAUACUCGCCCCACAGCUUAUGGCGCCAGACCGUGCACUACAAUUUGUGGAACAUACGCUGGCAAGACUCGGUGUGGACAGAUGGCUCGUUCCACGUGUUUUGCACAAACCUCAGAGAACCACAGGAUGUGUAGCCAGAAGCUCUUAAAUCUGAAGGAUCGAGGUCUCUUCGGACACAGUUGCUAGCAAGAAGUAAGGGCAGUGGUCCAAGAGGGAUGAAGAGAGUGCGUGCAUGAUGUGAUCACCAAAUAUUCAGCCAAGGUCUCCCGAUUGUAGCCAAUUUCUUCUCCUUUUCUCUUAGCAUGGACACCAAUGUCUUCUUAUCAGUCUCCAAAUGUAGCUUUGGACGUUGAUCUCCGUCGCUAAUUGAACAACACGUUUGCACGCUAAGAUAUCCACCACCUCCGAUUCGAAAGCAUCAACAGAGCUAUGUUAUAAGCUUAUCACUCUACUCUGGUAAAUAAUCUUUAGGGUACAUGAGUGACAGAGUAUACCUUUAGGGUACAUAAGUGAUUAUUUAUCGUUAAGUCAAUGCAUUCUUCAUUACAGCUCCCUAGUCCAAGCUUAUCACUCUACUCUGGUAACUAAUCAAAGAAAAUGAACCUAAGCUAGGUUAUUGAUGGCAUGCUCGGCUUGGUACCUCUAUAUGUUAUUUUUUAUAAACAUAGAUAAAUUGAAUUAGACAAAGAAAGUAAAUUUGUCUUAUUUGCCUUUCUAAAAAAACAGUUUUAGUUCCCUACUUGAGCUCCUUCACGUUCUUCUUCUGGUUUCGAUGCAGCAAAUUAAACGGACUAAUCUCCUAAAUAUACUGGAAAAUCUCUGCAAACAACAUGCACCCACAAAUCAUCACCACAUACAUAGGAGGAAGAAAAUCCAUGCCAAAUGUACAGCCGCAACCAGAGAAGAGAGUAGUACAAGUUCAAAAGUGCUACCAUGCCCAAUGAAAAUCAUAUGUGAGAACAAGCUAUUACAAUAUAAUUGCAACUUUUCAGCUAUUUCCUGUAGCAAAGAACACAAGCUAUGGUGUUAACUUUCAUCCAAGAGGUGAACAUUAUUGAUUUCUGCAAAUGCAAAUAAAAUAUGCACAUCAGAAUUCUGAAGGUGAAAGCAAUUUUUGAACAAAUAAUGUUGUUAUGCAGAUCUAUCUACUAAGUGGGUGUGAAAAAAGAAACAAUUCCUUAUUCAACACUAUCUUAAAUUUCGUUUCCUUAUUUGACACUGAAUUUUAUUUUCUUCCCUAUCUAACAACGAGUCUAAAUUUUAUGCCUUUUAUGGCACUUUCGUCCAUUUUGAAACUAAAUGACACCUGAAAAGACCCUUUUGCCCCUCAUGUGGUAUGUGUGGAGAGCAGUCGCACACACACGCAACAUCAAUGUGAGGGCAGUAGCACACACAGCAGCACAUAAACACGCAGCGAGACACAGCAGCACAUAAACAUGCAGCAACGCGCGCGCACACACACAGCAGCACCCACGCAUGCAACACACUCACAGGCAGCAGCAGCACACACACGUAGCACACACACGCAGUAGCAGCAGCAACAGCACACACGCAGCAGCACAUACCUAGCAGCAGCACACAGCAGCGGACGCACACAACACACGGGCAUGCAAACAAUUUUCUUUUUUUAAACGAGGCCAAAGCUUUGCCCAUUUUAUUAGUUAAGAAGAAGGUUGCCUAGUUAAUGACGGAAAACCAGGCGUCCUUCACUCCAUCCACAACAGCCAUGGAGCUCUGCACCCGCCGGACGGACAAGAGAAACCAGAUCCGGCCGAGUCCGACCAAAUCCAACCAUCCCCACCCGCCUCCUCCUCACAACCACCGCCACAUCCCUACCUGAUGUCCAGAUCGAAUAAACGAAGGAACAUCCAAAUCGAGCGUAAUGGACGGGAGGUCGUGGUGGUGCGUAACUUGCAUAUGGCCAAAUAGUGUACCUGACUGGCUGACUCUCAUAACAAGGACCAAUAACUCGAGAACAGGAUCGAAGGAUCGAUGGCUGAGGAACACCCAAUACGUGGUUUUAUUUUUGGUAGAUUUUUUUGGCGAACGAUCUAUACAUAGUAGGGUGAAAAAGUCGCUGGAAAUCAAGGUAGGGCGCUCCGCCUGUGACAUCACACACACGCGCGCACACAAACAUACCACAUGAGAGCAAAAGGGUCUUUUCAGGUGUCAUUUGGGCUUGAAACGGACAAAAGUGUUAUAAAAGACAUAAAAUUUAGACUCAUUAUUAGAUAGGGAAGAAAUUAUUUGUCGAUGUCAAAUAGGGCAUAAAAUUUAGACACGGUGUUAAAUAAAGAAUCCUCUCGUGAAAAAAGGGUAGCUAAGGGCAUCUUCAACGCAAGACGGGUGCUAAGGAAAAUAAAAACAAAUCGUAAAAGUAAAAAAAUAAUCAAAACGCCUGUUUGUUUUAAUGAUGGACGCUAGAUUAUUGGCGCUAAUAAAAUAAGCCCGUGCAGUAGCGUUUUAUCCAACAAAGCAAAACAAGCAAGCGCCCGACUCUAUAUUUUGCGUCAAUGCUACACCUGACGCCAGGAUUCACCAGGAAUUAACAGCCUAACCGCCAAUCGACCGGAUAUCUAUCCUGGCCGCCCUAAUGAAUAACCGUGUCGUGAGGCCGCGUAAUGUCCAGUUAAAACAAAUGGCUAAAGAAUCAAGAAUACCACAUUAAGAUUGAUUAAUUUGUCUUUUUUCCUUGUAUCAUUUUGGCGAAGUAUUUCCCUCUGGCCAACAUCUAGUAGUGGUACUUGACUUCGAAUAACUGACCAAAUACAAUCAGAUAUAUGCAGUCUGGAUGAACACCAAAUCUGUUUGACUAAUCAUUUCACAUAUAAGAAGAUAAAAUUAAUCCAAACCUAGUGCUUAAUGUAGAUCAAUCGUAGAACAUCAAUGGCACCAGCGAGCUACACAUCGGUGCGGUGAUGUCGACCAAUAAGCAAAAUGACUGUCAACUCUAGCUAGGAUAAUUUUUUUUGAUGUGAUCUGCUUCAGGGUAUUAUAACAAAAGAAUUACAUUUAUAUAAAUAUAAGUUAGUACUAACAUUGUUUACAUUUGCAACUAAGACAUCUCUAGCAUAAGACAUAGAGGUAGGAAAUGUAUAACCGUGCUGCAUAAAAAGCAAAACCCAUAGCGCCAUAUGAAUAGUAUAGUAGGAUCCCAAGCUUGUAACUGUACAAUUACGAAACUAUUUCAUGCAAGCAAUUGAUAACCCUCACAUGAAGUUAUCACAAUAAAAACGAGUUUCAGAACUUCACACCAUGGCCAUAGUUAGCACCUAUAGUUCUUGCAGAACUACACAGUACAGCUGGUUGUCUAGAUUUCAGAAGUGAACAUUCAAUAAGUGAGUAAGAUUUAUAAACUCCUUUUGUCAAAUGAAUUGCAGAAAACGGCAGACUACAGUGCUCUACAACAUAAACCAGCUUCACGACACAAACUAUACAAUCCUCGGAUUCGUACCAGUCGUUACGAAACCCUCGCUUAAUGGCCAAAUCAACUCACCUGUGUGUUUGAAUAAUUUGGAUUAAAAGAAAAUAUUCACUAAAUACCCCUGAUCCCAACUCUUUGAACAAUCUAAAAGGUCCUAGAAUUAACAGGCUUCAAUUGACUGGUUAUGGUUAACGAAUUCCCCCUAAGAUCUGAAGCGUAGCAUCACCAGGUAAAUAGAUUGAGAUGGCAAACUCAGACGGGGACAGAUCCGAGACAUGGGCAGCAGCGGCAGCAGCAGCGUACCUGUUGUGCAUGAGGAUGGAUCACCAGGGCUCUCAGGCUCUGAAACAUGGCUAUUCAGAAAUUUCUCAUCCACGACAUGGACACGUCCACAUGGCACCUGUUUGACUCCGUUCAUGCCUGAUGGGCGAGCACAUGCACCACGGGCACCACCGACAGAAAAGCAAAGACAUCGAUUACCAUGCUAGUGUCAUGGGUCAUCUGGAAUGAGCGCAACGCAAGAGUGUUCAGGCAAAAGAGCGCACCUUCGUAAAUCUUGCUCAGCAUCAUUGAAGACGAGGCAAACCUUUGGAUCAAGCUGGGGCAAAGAAACUAGGGUCUUUUUUAUUGCGAGAAUAAUUGUCAUGCCGUAACUUGGAUGUGUGUUGUAACAAACUCUCUUUCCUCCUUAUUUAAUAUACGAGGUAAAUCUUUUGCCUCCGUUUCAAAAAGAAAUCCUUAUCGACGAAGGAGAGUAUGACAACGUAGUACUUGGGGCUGACGGAGGACAAGACGAUGGCAGAAUAUCGGUCGGGGUGUGGAUGCCCGUGUGUUCCAUGAUGGGGGAAUUGUCUGGUGCCACCGGCAUGCGCUGAGAUUUCCGUGCAUCGAAACCAGCCCACAAAGGUCGGAUCUCUGUUGGGUCACGGCGAGCGCCUUAGCCGCCCUGGAGAGCGCAUCGACAUUAUAGAACUGCAGGAAAAGUGGUGUACAACAGGAUACAUAAGAGUGCUGACCUUGCCAUCGAUGAAACGGGAGAUUGGAUAAUUUACCACACUUUACUUCGUGAUUAGAUGAUUUGCCCUGCUUUAUUUAGGAUUAGAUGAUUUGCCCCGUUUUUCUUCUAUCUUUUGAUCAUUUGCCUUAAUCUGUAUUCUAAUGAGUUCUUAAUUAUUUUAAUUCAGAAAAUCAACAUGGAAUGACAUUUGUGCCCCUAUAGCAGUUUUGCAAUUUCUAUGUAUAAUCUACCUGGUUCGACCCUGUCUCUUCGUACUGAACCUGCAGCUCGUCCUACUCCCUAGGAACACCAAGCAGCGCUGUAGCUCAGCGGCCCAGUGGCUACUGCUGCUGCUCGCAGGCCCAGCAGUUCCCGCAGCUGCCCGACGGCUCGACGGUCCGGUAGCUUCCUGCUCUCUACCCCAGUGAAUCCCGCUGCUGCUCGGCCGUCCGGCGGCUCCAGUUGUUGCUCGAAGGCCGGCUGCCCCGUGCCUCCCUCUACACCCGGGCGACUUAUGCUCCUGCUUGGUGGACGGUGGCUCCCUCUGCUGCUCGGUGGCACGGCGGCCACCCGGCGACCAGGUGCCCUGUAUUUUCUUUCCCCUCUCGAUCCCCUUGCUCCUCUCGAUUCCUCCGCACGGCAGCAUGCAGCUUACAACAGAGGAGAGAUUUACUAAUAACCACUAACAGGAGCUUUAGAGCAACUCCAAGGGGCGAUCCAUUUGAUCCGCCCACGUUCAUUUGGGUCGCCGACCCAAACCCAAAUCAUGUCCGCGCUGCGUUCACGCCGACACAUUUUCGGUCCAAAUUUGCGCCUAAAAUGCGUUGGCGCGGAAGCGGAUGCGCCGCGCGUCUCCUCGCCGUCCGCCGCGUCCCCAUCUGGCGGCCACCCAACCGCCACCGGUCGUUUUAUUUAUGACGACCACCGAUAGCGGGCCCACGCAUUAGCUAGUGCGCGCGUCUUUUUUUAACCACGUGUGCGGCGGGGUCGGCCUCAUCCGCUUCUCCCGUCCACAUCUGCUCCCCCUCCCACCACUCCCUUUGCUUCCUCGCCGGCGACCGCAAACCCUAGCGCGCCUAUGGGCCUCUUCGGCAGCAGCAAGGGCAAGGGCAAGGGCACCCCCGGCGCCUCGUCGUCCCGUGCUCCCCCUCCCCCUCCACCGCCGGCGCGUUUUCGCCCUGAACGCCGGUGCCUGCACAUCCCGGUGCACCAAGCGCGGUGGCACUGGGAGUACAGGGAGUACAGGCAUUUGGAUCCAAACCGGAUCCCGGUGCCGGCGGUUCCGCGGACCCAGCGGGCCCACGACGACGAGGUGCGCCAGCGCCGCGCGCUGCUCACGCGGAGCAACAUCGGCUGCCCGAGUACGCCGCCGACUCUCCCAACUGGGAGGCUUGGUUCGCCCUCGAACACGAGGAGCAACGACGCUCGAGUGUCGCCGCCGUCCCGCCGCCGUUCCCACCGCUGCCCCCGGAGGUAGAGCCGGAGGACAUGGAGGCGGAGGCGGAGUACCAAGACGCCUUCGAGGAGGCCCUGCAGCACGCGCUGGAGGCUAGCCGCAUCGACGAGGACGCGCACUGGGAUGGGCUAGAGCAAGCCCUUGCCCUGUCGGCGGCGGGGGACUCCGUCCACUCCCCGCUCUUCGUGCCGCCACCUCCAUCAUCGCCGCCCGUCCAGCCGAAGCCGGAGCCGGAGCCGGAGCCGUCGGGUAAGCGCUCCCCGUCUCCACCCACUUGGGCGGAGGAGGCCUACUCGUGGACGGGCCAGUACCGCGAGUGGGUCAGCGCGCCUCCCGUCCACUUCGCCGCCACGCCGGAGGAGGAGGCGGCCCACCUCGAGUGAUGGAAGGAGCACUAGAUCCACCAGGAGCAGAUGCGCUACGACGCCAUGCUUCAACACGACGCGGAGGAGCUCCGGCUCGAGGAGGAGGAGGAGGAGGAGGAGCGCGCGCGGCUUGCCGCAAUGCCGCCGCCCCAGCAGACGCCGGAGGAGGCUGUCCUGACAGCGUACCAGGCGGCGUUCGGGUGGGCUGGCCCUACUCCGGUCUUCAUCGACCUCACUGACGACGGCGUCGAGGGCAAGGGCAAGGGCAAGGCCGACGACGUCUAGGGCAGCGUGCGGGGCGGCAGCAGGCGGGCGCAGACUUUUUUUAAUGUUUUAUUUAAUGUUUAUUAGAUUUAGGUGGACUUUGGCCGGCGUUUGACCGACCACUUUAUGUUUAAUUAUGUUUAUUUCGUGCAAUUUGUUUUUUUCCAUGCUGGCACAUUUGGGUCGGCCUCCCCGUUGAGCGGUCAAGCUGACCCAUUUUAAAAUGCGAAUGCGCACGUCCGCCUGGCCGACCCAAACGGAUAAAAAGCGGACAAAACGCGCGUUCCUUUUGUCGCCCCGUUGGAGUUACUCUUAAUCUCAAUUUAUCUCAUGGUCCAGCAAUCUAAUUCUUUUUUUGUUCAGUGUGUUGGUCAAUCACAGGAUGAGACAUUCACGUUUUGUGGAGAACAGAAACUUGUCAAAGAGAUCCAGGACAACAAAUUAGUCUCACCCCUGAAGCGGCAGCCGUUGCAGGCUCAUUGUCUUUGCCACCCUCGUCACCGUGGAACAUCACGGCUCCUGUGAAGUUGCCGGAGUCGCCUCACCUUGCCCCGCUGGAUGAACACAGCCGUCGUAUGCCGGGUCCAACACGGCCUAUGUCACCUUGACCACGCUGACUUCGCACCACCACCACCAUGGCAGAACACAGGCCUCGACGAGGUGCUCCAAGGGCGCUGUCCUGGACGCCAGUGAGACCGCGGUAGACCACAUGCCUCGACGAGGUACACCAAGGUUCUAUUCGGAAGCAACUGGGCUGAUGCGGUCAUGUAAUGUUGGCGCAGCAGACUGCGCUGCUACCAGCGCAACCACCCGGAGGAGCAGCGUUCCGUCCUAGGAUCUGCCACACGACCGCGGGCACGUGCCUAGCUUGGCAAGGCAACCAGCACCAUGAAAUUUAAGCCGUGAGCCUCUCCCGCCGCCGCCAAAGUCGAGGUUGAAGCCUGCCCUCGACGACUUGCCCUCACCGCAUGCUACACGGCCACUCCGCCUUGCCACCUCCUCGCCACCAUAGCUGCCAUCCUCGGCCAUCGACGGGAAUCCAACAGUCUGCUCCGUUGCGAGGGAGAUAGAGAUGGAGCAUCAUGGCUAGAGGGCUUUAGAAAAGUUGGGAUUGCUACAUCCGAAAACAAAUCGUAAUUGUUGAGCGAGAUGGGAUACGACGGGAUCUCUGCCGAUGCGAGAGAGAUUGACAUGGGCAUCCUAGCUAGAGUUUCAGAAAAAAGGAAACGUGAAGGGGUGGGCUUUAGGAAAGUUGGGAUCGCUACAUAAGGAAAGUUGGGAUCGCAAAUUUUGAGCCGGAUGGGAUACGACGGAAUUAGCGGCGGAAAAUAUCGGGGAGGGUGUGGAGGCUUCGUUAGAUGGAGCGAGCGAACGAAACAAUGUACGGACUCCUUCAUUAGGAGUAGAGAUCAUGUAUAUAAAUAUAUUCCUUGAUUAAAAGAUAUGCAAGGAUAUCUUAUGCACAUUGGAUUCUAAUGUUUAUAUCAAACAGUAAAUUUGUGUGUUUCUUAAAAGAAGAUAUGUAAUGAUUAUUUUAGCCCCAUAUAUCUAUUUCAUUAUUGGAAGAUAUUACAUAUUAAAUAGGCAAAUAUUAUAUAAUUAUUAUCUUCCUAACAAAGCAGGUACGCAUAUCCGCCUUGUGUUUAAGUUCCCUCUACGCACAACAUUUUCUUAUUUCUACUUGUUAUUUUAGUGGUAUACUCUAUCUCAAACAUGGUGGUACUUCUUUGUCCGAAAAUGGCGCAUCUUGUGUCCUUUUUUCCACUAAUGUUUGUUGUUUUUGUGCAUCAUGUCUCCACAACACCAAGCUAUGAUGAAUAUCCUAGGAAGGUACUACAACACAGAGGAAUUUUAUCCUUGAACAGUAGCUCCCAACUGUUAGAUGCUGAAAUGAUGUCAAUCCGGCCAAGACCGAGACAAGUUGUGCAUGUAAGCUUCUAUUUCUCUUACUUAUUUUUUUGUACAAAUUUUCUUCAUGGGUAUGCAGAUUUACAUAACGCAUGUCAUACCAAGAAGAUUAUAUGUACUAUAGAUGCAUCCUACAGUGACUCAUAUCGGUCUUUUUGCACCAAACGUGUAUCGAGCAUUUACUUGCGGCAUAUGUAUGGCCCCUAUUUCUGGUCAAAUCUGUACAAUUUCUUUAAAGUUAAUAUCAUAUUAUGUUGCUUUAGUUUAAGCCCUUUUGGGGGUUUUUGGAUUUUUCAUAGAACUUUGCUUCGGUACACACCCCUACAAAAGUUUACGGAUUUCGAUGCAGAUUAAAGGUGAAGAUUAGAAGGUAUCACUUCAACAAAAAAGAGGAUAAUAUAGUCUUUUUAUCCAAAUCAAUCUAUUCAAUAUGUUUAAUCUGCAAGGUACUAUGGUGAUAGCCUUUUUAAAUAACUUAAGAUUCGUGCAAACUUUUAAGGGGGUGUACUGAAGCAAAACUCCUUUUCAUAUCGUAAAAUAAAGUUGUACAUAAUAGUUUUUUGGUCAAUUCAAUUUUGUUGUGAUAUAGUUUUGGAUACAUGGAUUCGAAAUUUCUUACAACUUUAUAUUCCUAUUCAUAAAGGUUGGGCCUACAAAAUACUACCUCCAUCGGGAAUUACUUGUCGCGGAAAUGGAUAGAUCUAAAACUAAAAUAUGUCUAGAUACAUCUAUUUCUUCGAUGAGAAAUUCCGGAUGGAGGAGGAGUACAAGUUAAAUUUAUCAAUAUAUGUGCAUGCACCCAGUUUAAACUAAUUUAAAAGUGAUUAUAUGCAGCUUGCAGCAUAUGAAUCGUACCAAGCCGCUGGAAACCAAUAUACUGGUGCUAUGGCCACUUUUGAUGUCUAUGGUUUUCCAAACUUGGUUAAGGGUGAAUCAAGUUCAGCCCAAAUCUGGGUAAUAAAUAAAGGAAAUGGUGAAAGCGACAACGUCAACAAAAUUAUGUCUGGAUGGGAGGUUCGGAAUAAUAUAUAUUAUCACAACUUUAACAUAUGCAAUCACUAUUAGCAGCAAGAAAUUAACUAAUUUCCGUAACAGGUCAAUCCAGACAUCUAUGGUGAUAGCAAAACACAUUUUUUCGUAUUUUGGACGGUACUGCACUAAAUCUGCUCCAUGUCUACUUAAAUGUGUGUGUUUAAUAUGUGUAUAAUGUUGUAAAUUUACUGGUAGGCUGAUGGGGAGGAUGAGACCGGAUGCUAUAACUUGAAUUGUCUAGGCUUUGUGCCUGUAAAUGGGGCUCCUAUUACGCCCGGAGAUAGCCUAGAGCUACCACAUGGGCAAACAAGAAUCUCACUCAAGAUAUAUAAGGUAUGAUUCAGACAACCCACUGUUCAAAUAAAAUGUACUCAUGUUGUAGAAAGGCUUUGCUCCUGGUAGCAUUUUCUACCUAUGUAGCACUAGUGCUGAUAGAAAAAUGCUUCUACUUCAAACUUGAGCUGCCAAAAAAAAAUCGCCUUCUUUUUCUAAGAGGAAUAUAUUUGGCUUCUUUUGAGGGAUUUCUUUGGCUUCUAAUUCACGGAAUGUGUGUGCUAUUGUUCAUUUGUUUGGGCCAUUGCGACUAGUAAAGUUAGUGCAAUGAAUUUAGAUAAAUAUUUAGUAUAUUUUUGAAGGUCAUUAUUUACUUAAUUUUUUUCUACACACGUUUUAGACUGUCCUUUCUUGGUAAUUUCAAAUGAAUGCCUCAUUUGGCUAACUCAAUAAAAAUAUUGUAUGGCACCUCUAAACCAAGAGGAUAGGUUAUAGAAAUUUUUGACAUCCCUCCCUCCUAUGGCAGACACAUUCCAUGAGUAAUAUUUCUCUUCUUAAUAAAAAUUGGUCAUGGCCAACAUGAUACGUAAAGACUAUGGUCCAAGAUUUUUCUUUUAAAUGGCUGCUAGCUAAACAAAAUAUAAAGAUAGAAUAUGUUUUGGACAUAAACUGAACAUGUUGGAUAAAACAUGGGAGUUCCUUUCGUUAGAGCUUGCGUGAUGAAUUAGAAAGCUAAGAUUUGACAAAUUAAAUCAUAUGGAUUAUUUUUUAUUGUAAUGUUUUAAACUUGGUAUUGAACUUUAACAUAUUUUGCUCUUUGUAAUACAACUGUUCUCCUCUACAUUUGUGUUGCAGAGUAGAGAUGAUGGAGAUUGGUGGUUGUACUACGGAAAUGAUAACAUUGGUCUUACUAGGGUUGGAUAUUGGCCAAAGGAUCUUUUUACCACCCUGUCAGGCCAUGCCACACUUAUAGCAUGGGGUGGAAUGACCACGUCUUAUGAAGGACGUUCUAGUCCUCCGAUGGGCAAUGGGAAAUGGGCUGGAAGAGAAUCGGCAACAGUUCGAAAUGUUCAGUAUGUUGAUACAAGUGGUGGAGGUUAUGAUCCCCCUACAUGGCCUGCUGGUCUCCAUAUUGUUGAAACACACAGAAACUGCUAUCGUGCUACCACUUUUGGCGAUGGCAUGUUCCACUAUGGGGGCCCGGGUGGUUGUGUUCGUUAACUCGUUAAUUAGCACAUGUUUUAGUGUUCUUGAAAGAACUGAUGAGGUGAAUUAUAUGUUCAAUAUAACUUGUUUAAUGUACUUCCGAUCAGUUUGAUCCUUCUGAGAAUUAGUUUUCCUAGGUGGCAGAGGAUUCAAUCACUAUGUCAGUUAACAUUGGAUAGAUACUAAUCUCUGCACACUAUAUAGAUAGAUUCAUCCAUAAGGUACAGGUUCAUAACUGGUCACGGCUCACCUUUUGAAUGAUUGGAUUUUAACCCAAAAGAAGGUUAACUUUUCAUAGAUUUUAGAGAAGCAAACGAGUUCAACAUGGGUUACAAUUUAACUCCUUGCAAAAAAGGGUUACGGUUUAACUCAAUGACCUCGUAAAGCUUCCCCUCGAAAAACAAAAGGACCCCGUAAAGCUUAACUCAAGUCCAUGAAUGCACUAGCACUGCAUAAGGGUACAGAAAGAUGUCACGAUACAAAACCUUAGUAAUUUUUCAACUAUUGUACACGGAUUUCAUAGAGCCACUAAACUUCUCCAGGUUGUGAAGAUCUUUUUUGUAGAGUCCAUACAUUUUAUUGCGAGGGUCUGACAAUAAAAUACUCAUGUUGCCGGAAAAUAUGUGUGGUCCAUAUUUUUUAUUGACACUCUGCACAAAAUUACAGUAUUUGAAUACUCUCUCACUCUCUCUCAACUUCUAACCUACCGACAAUUCAAAAAAAUCUAACCUGCGGAGCAUUAUUUUUUUUGAUAAACAGCAUAUUUAUUAUCUUAAAAUGUAGUAUCAAGCGAAUACACAUCACGAUGAGCAACAUCCGGCCACUACAUAAUUAGGAUGCACACAGUCAAACACCAAAAGUCUGAUAAAAAAAUAAAAAAAGACUCCCUCCGUCCGGAAAUACUUAUCAUCAUAAUGGAUAAACGGGGAUGUAUCUAGACUUAUUUUAGUUCUAGAUACAUCUCUUUUUAUCCAUUUUGAUGACAAGUAUUUUCAGACGGAGGGAGUACAACAUAUCGGUAACAAUAGAGACCUGUAAGACCGACACCAUGCCUAUGUCGAAGGAGGUGGUGGACCGAUCCGGAGAUUAUGAUGCGAUCAAUGUUGGGAAAAAACCUCUCUGGCCACAUGCUCCAACCGCAUACACAUUGCCUUGAACAACGGUUGGUAUUCCGCUCGUUAUAGCGCAGUCCAUAUACGAAUCGAGUGCGUACAAUGAAAAAUAACCUGCAAAUGAUAAGUAUUUUUUCAUUAAAGAGCAAAUCAUUUCUACUAGCUUAACCAAAGCGACUAUAGUAAGGCAUACACCCCAUCCUUAUUAGCGUUUUAAACCUACUUGAGAUAUCGUCCAACCAAUGAUAAAAAAGAUUGGCAACACUCGUGGGCGGGUACAGAUUUGAUGCUAUUUGGAUGACUGCCCACGUAGAACCUGCAAGGUUGCAUUGGAAAAAGAGGUGUUUGAUUGUCUCGUCAUGAGUACAAAAACUACAUUUCUUGCUUCCUAACCAGUUGUGAUGUGUGAGGUUGUCUUUGCUUAGCACAACUUCCCUUCGAAGAUACCACAUGAUAUUUUCAUCUUUUUUUGUAGAAUCUUUGACUUCCAAAUUUCCUCCUAAUUAUUCACCGGGACAUUUGAAUACGUAAGUGCACGGUAUAGAAUCAUCCAAGAAUGACCCAGAUGUAGCGAGGUUCCAGUGAAACACCUCCCGACCUUGAGUCAGGUAAAUCGAAUCCAAUCAGGAUAAAAAACAUUGCCAUGACAUAAGUCGGAGGCCAAUCAAAUCCUUCCUGAAUGGAAUAUUUGGCAGGGAUGAACUGAGCACCCGCAGAAUAGUAUUAUUCUUAUCGCGAAUAAUGACGUACAAGUCUGGAUAUUGUUCUCGAUGAUUACCAUUGCCUAGCCAGAAGUUCUUCCAAAAACGAAUCUCCGACCUGUCCUUUAUCGUGAAGGACCCAAAGUGAAAAGAUGCUUUUUUCUGCCACCAUUAGGCCAGCCCAAAAGUGCAAAUUGCUAGGUUUCCAACAUGAUUGAGACACAACUUUUUGGCCUAGAUACUUAUUACGCAACAUAGAUUGUUAAACACCAUCCUCAGUAAGAAGUUUAAACAACCAUUUAUAAACCACACACCAUUAGGCCAGCCUAUAUUUCUUAUUUUCGUCGUUUCCUUGCCAAAAGAAUCUGGACCUAAAACAAUCCAGUCUUUGCAGGAGCAUAGAGACCAUAGGAGCACAGAGACCAUAUUUGUGAGGAGAGAGAGAGUUGAUGAAGACUAGUUAUCCUCCAACCAAGAGUAACUAGCCUUUCCAACUGCUCAACCAUUUCUCUAAGCGUUCUUCUACAUGUUUCCAUUCCACAUUUGUGAGACCCUACAAUGAGUCACUAAUCUCAAAUAUUUAAUUAGGAAUUGACCAUGGACACACCCUGCCGGUGUCAAAACCCGCAGACCUCGGGGUAAGGGGUCCCGAGUUGUGGAUCUAGGAUAGAUGGGGAACAAGGGACAACGAACACAAUAUUUACCCAGGUUCGGGCCCUCUCGAAGAAGUAAUACCCUACGUCCUUCUUGAUUGUACUGGAUGUAUAAUAUGGUUUACAGAGUUGAUCUACCUCGAGAUAUGUAUGAGCUAAACCCUCAGGCGAUGAGGUGAUGAAUGUAGCUCUAGCCCUAAGAAUAAAAACCUUCGGUUUAUAUAGUCACAUGUAGGGUUAGGGUUACCGAAGAUAGAUUACAAUAAAGGUUUAAAGAGAUCCUACGCCUUCUUGACUUGGAGGGCACACCACGGCUUCAUAGAUCUCCUGUCACUAUACGGCUCCACCAGUCCGACCCAUGUAUAAUGGGUCGUCACCCCGAGGACCCCUUAGUCCAUGACUCCCUCAGUAGCCCCCGAACUUGCCUCCAACGCCAAGACUUGUAUCCGACAUCCACUCAUCCGACCAGUAUUCGGCUUGCGAGGCAAGUUCUUCAGUAUGUUUUACCCAUGUUCGGAACCAAGAGAUGUCCGGGAUCUAUAAUGGUAGUUUUACUCAACACCGAAGAGUCGCUUCCGGCCAUAAUGCCGAGCAGUUACUAUUUUUCGAACCGCGUCUCGAGGCCGACGCCACGUUUGGCACGUGCCCUCGAGGUGGAUAUUGUGUCCCGCUUUUCGGGGGAUAUGGUUAAUGAUUUUGAUUCCCCUCCCCGCACAAACCGUCAUGGGCAUAUUGGGAAGUGGAGAAGCCAACGUCGUGGAAAAAGGAAUCCUAGGCCCGUCAAUAGUCUAUAAAGGGAGGGCUGCUACAGUAUGCAUCCCACACCCUCUUCCACCUUCCGCUCACGCAGACCUUCAGAGCUCCAGCGCCCUUUUUCUCUGCUUCCACAACGAAUCCCUCUUUGUCUCCUUCGACCAUGGCUGGAUCUGGAGCCAAUGGGAAGUGGGAGGCCUCCAGCGUCACCAAGGGGGACAUCUUGAAGCUGAAGGAGGCCGGCUAUUUGUCGGCCAACAUCGCUCAUCGGGCCCCCGAAGAGGGCCAGAUCAUCCCCACGUCCGAGCCGGGUGAAAGGGUCGUGUUCCUCCCCAUUUCCUUAGGGGGCUCGGAUUUCCUCUGCACCCCUUCGUAAGGGGGUUGAUGUUUUUUAUGGGCUAUAUUUUCACGAUCUAGCCCCCAAUUCCCUCCUCCACAUCUCAACCUUCAUUGUCUUCUAUGAAGCACUCCUUCGAGUUCAGCCACACUUCAGUUUAUGGCUGAAGGUGUUCAACGUCAAGCCCAAGGUGGUUGGCGGUGAGCAUGCGGACUGUGGAUUGGCCAUGAUUAGUAAACUAACACGGGUCCAGUGGUUGGACGUCCACUUUGUUGACACCGUCCGGAUGUGGCAAAAGGAGUGGUUUUAUAUCACCGAGACAUGGGAGGCCGCCUGGGGAGCGACCCUGCAUUCAAGUCUAGACACCCUACUAGAUUGGCCUCAUGGACCACCAAGAGCCCGGACUGGGGGUGUGUCACUCAAACGAAGGAGCUGCAGAAGCACGUCGACAACAUAAUAGAGAUCGGCGCGAAGCUGGUUGACGUGGUCUAGAUCAUGCUCCACCGCCAGUUCCUCCUUUGCCAGGAGAGAGCCAAGCCUAUGUGGGAGCAUGAGCCUGAGGAUCUGGCCACCGUGCGACACCUCUACGGCACGACUCCUGACAAAAUAUAGGGCCAACUAUUCCAGCCCCAGAAGGAGUGGUCGGUCGAGGGGAAGGACAUCGGCCUCGGCGCCACGAACCCCCCAAAGGAGGUGAGCGACACUCUUCGGCGAGGAGUGUCCGUAUAUUUAUACUGUGUUUGAUUCGGCCUGACCUUGUUAUGCGGAUUUUGCAAGGCUGGCUUGCCAAGGCCAAAAAGAUCAGCGGCCCGGUUGAGCCCCGAUCAGAGCAACUCGAAUGACUACUGGUCAUAGUGCCUUAUAAGGCGCUCGUCAAGAAGGGCAAGAAAAAAGAAGUAUUGAAGGCCAGGGAGGGCCUCCGCCGUAGGGUUCGUCCGAGAAACCAGUCCGGAGACGUUGCGGCCUCAUCCGUAUAGGAUGGGGACGAGGAUGAGGACGAGGAGGAGAGCGCCUCCUCGCGCUCCAAAAAGAGGAUGGUGUUCGAGGAUGCUGUGAAGGUCCAACCUUCUCCGGCCCCAAAGAAACGAUGCCGGCCUAAGCUAGUCUUGUCCGAUAGCUCAAACUCCGACAAGGAGUCUGAGGCGUCUGAGGAGAUCCCACAGAAGGGACCUAGAGUCAAGCCCCUAGCCAGCAGGUAAGGCGUUGGUAUUUUUAUUAUCCUGUUUCCAGUAGUUUGUUUUUGUUGAAGGCUAACCCUUCUAAAUUGCAGCCCCCACAUGAGCGCCCCACCGAGCAAACUUCGGAGGGGACGUCUCCACCGCUGAACUAGCAGACAGUGGGUCUAUGGCGUACUCCGCGCCUCCCUUGGUCCCCGAAGAGGUUAAGAAGGUGCGGUCCCGAAGGACUCCUCCUCCUCCGAACAUAGAGGGAGAGGCCAAUGCCGUAAUGGCCGAGGUUAACACCUCGGUCACCGAAGACCAGGGGGAGCGUCCCUCCUGGAUGACGCGGGAAAGGAGUCCGGACCAUCCGGACCCCACCCGUCGACCGCUCCCGAGCCCCCAAGGCCUUCGACAACCUAGGCUCCUCCUUGCGGGGAAGGGGCUAGGGAGCCAACGUCAGCAUCGAACACCUCUACACGAGCGACGGCUGGCUGGCCAGACAUGCUGGAGGAGUUGGUGGACAACUCUGCCAUCAUUGACAGGCACCACACUCUUAUGAGUGCGGUUAUGCAUGGUGUUCGGUCCAUCCAAUCCGGACUGAAUGAUGAUGUCCAAGGCCUUCUAACAGGCUUUGAGGUAAGUCAAGUAAUGCUAUUUCCUCAUAAUGCGGUUGUAGUUGUUAGCUUGGGUAGGCUGUAUACAUAGCAGCCCCCGAGACUCUGCAAGGACUUCGAAGAAAACUGCAGAGGAUCAAAUUCAGUAGGCUGAUUAAUGAUGUCAACAUUUCUUUUGCUGACGUAGGCAUCUUCCGUGGCCGCAGCUGCUAAUGUUGCAGCGUUAGAGGAGAUGGAUCGGAAGCUCAAGCUUUCUGAUGAAGAGAUUGACCUUGUCAACAAACAGCUUGAUGAGGCACACGGUAAACUCUAUGCUAAUCCUUUAUCUUGAUGAUCCUCCAGCUACUGCCGCCAAGAUCGAGUGCUUGAGGGAGGCCCUGAAGAAAGCUGAGGCCGAGGUAAACUCUAUGCUAAUCCUUUGGCUGCGAAGAAGACGACCACUGAGAAGGCGGUGGCCGAGCUUGAGAAGGCCAAGCUUGUUGUUGAGAAGCAUGAGGCUCGAGUGACUAAAGUCCAAGUGGAGCUCCAAGAUGCCGCCGAGAAGCUGGAGGCCCUUGAGAAGGGGCAGGAGGAGCAAUCCUCCUGGCUAGGAAAGGUAGAGAAGGAGCUCCAGGAGGUGAGGACUGACUUGUGAGGUAUCCGGGAGGAGCUCCACCAAGCCGCACAAAUUGCAAAUGGUAAGAAAUACUUACUGUAGAGUGUGUUCGAAGGCAAUAGGUUCGCCCUGCUGACGCGGGUCUAAAGCUCCGCGGGCAUCUUCGCCGAACUUCUGAAGAAUGUGGCGGCCACAGCGAGGCACUAUGCCACCCUCGAGGAGGACUCCACGCAGCGGCUCUUCUGGUCAUAGUUUUCGGAUUCCGAGUGUCCUCCCCUCCUCAGUGAUAAAAUGAAGCAGCUGAUGGAGAUGCAUCGGAUGUCUGAAGGACCUCUGUGUCAGUCUGUGGCCUACUGAGCCCCUUCCAAACACCUACUUCGGCCUUGUGCAGAAGCUUUGGGAGGCGCUGCUCUGGAUUAACACCGUAAAGCGGUCAGCAUGCCUUAAGGGGGCAAGGCUUGCAUUCACGAAGACCAUGGUGCAUUGGCCGAGGAUUAAUCCGAUGGACAUGGCCACUGGUCCUCUGCCCAAGGGAAAGGAUCAUCGUCGCCCUGAACAGUACUUUGCACAGGUGAUGAAUGGCGCGUGGGCGAUAAAGGGCCAAUGUUCGAAAGAUGUACUAUUUGAGUGAUUGUGUUAAGUUUGUACCAAGUGGACCCUGUGCUUUGUAAUGCAUAUGCCUGACUUGUUUUAUAUUGUCAUGAUUUAAUUUUGACUCAUGUGAGGCCGUUUGUUUAUUCUGAAAGCUAUCAGUCGUCGGCUUCAGCCUCCAAGUGAAUAUCAUGAGGGGUGUUUUGUCUCUGCACUAUUACUCUUAGCCAACAUCUUGUUACCCACAGGCGGUAGUGUGGGAGUGGGACUAGGCAAUCAAACUAUUCAGUUUUAUUGCUUUCACUUAGCCAUAGGAGCUUGACGGUGGGGACUAUGGACUAGCCCCCGGUGUGUUGUGAUGUACUUGGGGAUCAAAACCUGUCCUUUCUGAUCACAUGGUUUGUGUUAAGAUGAACCGUUCGCGUGACAUGGCGAAAUCGCCAACGAUUUUUAGAGUCAAACCUCGUCAUCGGAUCGCGGACCAGUUCGCGCUUGCUAUGACGGUCAGUUUUUGCCUUUUUCCUCCUAAGGUACUUGGCCGAGCAAACUAGAAGUACAAUCGCAGGGGUUCUCCCUUUGCCCUCUUAGCCGAACAUGCAGAACAUAAGAGGCAAGCACAGGAGCCGGGCAACCCAACUAUUGACCCAAGACAUACUUCGGAACAGAUGCAUAUAGUGCAAUAUCCGAGACGCCGAACGCCUAGCGAAAAGCGGUGCCGGACUUGAAGAUAUUGAGCUGAUAUAUAAAUCAAACUCAUGACUAGUUAAUAUAUUUUCAUGUCGGGCUGUGCGAAGAGUGAGUGGAAAAUUAGAAAGGGGAUAAAAAAAUCACAAAAUGCGGAUAUCCGGAAACCAUAAAGGGCGCUUUUAUUAUUUCUUGUAACAUUAAGUCGUCUAACCGUACGAUUCGAACUGCCAAGGCAUUAUAAAAAACUAUAAGAGAUUUACAGAAUAAAGGUUUACGCAGGGCCUUGAUGCGUGAGUUGAAGCCUUCACUUUGCCCUGCUACACGCCUGCAGCUUUGCUUAUGGGAGGUGGGGGUUGGGACCUUUGAUGUGACCUUGAGGGGUGAGGAUCCUACCGAUGGAGCUUUAUGCUUGGGGGUUUCUGGAUUUGGCCCUCGGGUCGUUCGAGGAUGUCAGGACCCCGAUUCUAUGCCACACCGAUCUAGCAUGUAACACAUCAUAUCACUUUGCGGCCUCACGCACGGUAUUCCCACGGGUGUCGCCUUACCAUGCCGGGGACCGUUUGUGCCUUUUGGCACACGUAUAUGAUGGUGUCGCUAGCAUCCAUAUGACAAAGAACCCAGGCUGACAUGGCUAGUCGUGAACCCAAAGUGGCACUAACUUACAGGGACAAGCAUACAUGACCCAGCAACGAACGUGUCGGUCAUCAGCGAGUGAAUCCGGGCUAUAGCAGCUGGGCUAGCAGGACUCCAGAUAAUUUGGGCUGUAGCAGGCUAACAGGACUCCGGUAGACACCGCGUGACAUUUCCCCGAAGGGACAGACACAGGAACGAAGAAGGACACAUGCCGGCCAGCCUAAGUGUUCCGGAGCAGUAGCAAGCUACUAGGGCUCAGUGGAAGCACUAGGAGACAUUUCCCGGUAAGAGAGGCUACUAAGGAUAAACAACUAGAUAGUCAGAUCCCACACAUAGCAAUACACAUUACACAUACGCAUAACAUGCAAGUAUGUGCUGUACAACAUGGCAUCACAACAUAACUCAACACCUCAUAUAGAUAAAGGCUCAAAAUAACUAUCAUAGCAUUUAUUACAAACAUGGGUCACAUGACCCAACAUUCAGAGCAAACAAGCAACAAGCGAAAGCAUUACAUGUCUGAGUACAGACAUCUACAAAUGAAAAAGGCUGAAGAUCUUGACUUCUACAUCAGCUGAUCAAGAUCGUAGCCGAGGUACAAGCUACUUGUCGAAGUCCACAGAAACUAGUAAGACUGAAGUCUCCGCUGCAAAAACAUAAAUAAAGCAACAUGAGUACAAAGGUACUCAGCAAGACUUACAUCAGAUCCUAUCAUACAUGCAUAUGUAUCAAGAAGGUAAUGUGGGGUUUAGUUGCAGCAAGCCAGCUUUGACUCAGUGGCUAUCAUGUUCUACGACUACGAGAAACUUCUUGAGGUGAGACAACACACACGAGUCCACUAAUCACCACACAAUACACCACUAUGGAUUCAUCCCCGUCUCCCUACCAGAAGGUCAUCCAUAGCACUCACACUUGUCUUGAGCAUUUCAGAGUAUCCACUUCAAGUUGUCUAUGUACCACGUAAGCAUCCAAGAAGUCCAUAUCCGCGGACCCGACUAUUCGAAUAGAUCAUGUUAACCCUGCAGAGGUGUACUUCUUUACACACGCUCUCGCCACUUACCGCCAUGUACACAUCAUGUAUCUCGGCAACCUUCAAGCGGAAGCCUAGGGAGGGUAUCAACCACGACCUGACUAACCACACAAGACUCUAGUCCAGGUUUAUCGCUUAUUCGGGUUCCAUCCGCAAGGAGAUCCGACCAAGGUGUCACUCAGGGCCCCAAACGAUGUGAGCAAGGUUCCCAAGCACACCAUUCGGGUGCCACUUGGUACACCGUGCCACCUGUGCCUAGUCUGUCCCAAGCCCACCCUGCUGGGUGCCACUUGGUAGAAAAAUAGCACUACCUACAAACACCAGAAACUAGCUGCGACUUCCGGACAGAGAUCAAGUUGGUUAAUAGGUGGAGAGGGCUUGGAGCGCCCGGAGCCCAAUGUGUGGUAGUAACUAGUCAUUGGACGACAUACAUAGAACUCAGUGCUUAAGGACGGUUCCAGUGAGACAACCCACCAUGUACUCCUACAUGGCCUCUCACCGCUACCUUUAUCAAAUCGUGUUCACACACUUCACUCUCAGCAUCAGAACAUAGCACUGUACUCCAAUUCAUUCCCAAUGAAUCAGACCUGACACACUCUAAGAAAUAGCAAGCAUGGCAUAGUAGGAACACAACAAUGGCUUCAAACAACUCCUACACAUGCUAGUGGGUUUCAACUAUUUACUGUGGCAAUGACAGGUCAUGCAUAGGAAUGGGUUCAACUACCGCAACACAAAGUAGCAAUUGAAUCGUUGUUGUCCUAAUGCAACAACUGAGAGCAGGAGCGAGAGAGUAGGAUUGUAUCGGAAUGAACAAGGGGGUUUGCUUGCCUGGUAGAUCAACAGGGUGGCACUGCUCCUCGGACAGGUACUCUCGAGCACUCUCUAGAGCAGGACCUAUCGAGAAUGAACGAUGUCGGCAAUCAAUACACAAGCAUAUUCAACAAUAUGAUGCAUGAACAUGGCAUGUAGAUGUGAUGCUGUUUGAGCUAAUGCAACUAGCAUUCUGUUUGAAUGAAGUCCAUUUGAACCAAGGGUUCAAAUGCAAGUCCAAACUUAACAUUCAAAAUGCCAUUCAUAUGUUUUCACCUAUACAAUAGGUGUAGGUUGGUUUGUCAUGUAUGAAACUAGUACAGAUGGAUAGAUUGGAUUUUUUUGAUAAUUUUUCAUAUAUAAAUUAUUUCAAUCUGAGCUACGGUUAAAUUUCUAUGAUUUUUUGAAGUUUAUAGCAUUUUCCGGAAUUUCCUGAUUUAAAUUAAAUCCAGAAAAUAAAUAACUGCAUCAUGCUUGCGUCAGCAAGUCAACAACACUGACUGGGGUCAAACCUAACGUGUGGGGUCUACACGUCAGUGACACAGUGUUAAACAGGGGGGUUUUCUAAUCUAAUUAAAAGAUUAGGGCGCAGGGGCCCACUGUCAGUGUCAGGGUUAUCUUAAAUGGUGAUUAGUGCUAAGCUAAUCACCUGGCCAACGGGGCCCACCUAUCAGGCCGGCGAGGUCGUCGCCGGCGACGACAGAACACGGUGGAGUCCGCGUUGGGGGCCACGGGGGCGGUGUCUGAGAGCACCGGGGCGUAGCCCGGGCUCAUCCGCAUCCAGGGGAGCAGACGGGAGGCUGCGGGGGCGAAUGAGCUCGCCGGAGCGGAGCUCACGGCAGCGGCCGGAGCUCGGCUCGAGCGGCUUCGGGCAACAGAGCACGGGGAGGCAGGAGAGGAGCGGGAACAGACGUGGGGCUCACAGCGGACCGGAUGAGCAGCUUGGCAGCCUCGGGGACGCGCUGACGGCGGCGAGCAGCGAAGGAGAUCCACGGAGGCCGGAGGUGAAGAAGGCAACGGUGAUGACUUCACGGGGCGUCCGAUGAUGCGUGGCUUGGCGGAGAGGACGAGGGAGACGUGGCGGAGCUCGAGGACGGCUCAGAUGCUCUCGAGGGGCGUGGUGGCUACGGCUACGGCGAAUGGCGGCGACGGUGGCGCUCGGACGGGUCGGGAGAGAAAGAACCAGGGGAGGAGGGAGAGCGAGAGAGAGUGAGAGAGGUGCAUGGCGUCACGUGGCAUCAUCCGGGCAUUCGAGGCGACGAGAGGGAGAAGCAGGAGCUGGCGGGAGACAUUGCCGCUGGCGAGCGCACGCGCGACACGCACAGUGCCAGUAGGCACGAGGAAGAAGACAUAGGAGGAGGCGUGCUGGGUUGCUACUGGGUUGCACAGUGCUGGGCCAGCACAGGAGCUGGGCCGCAGGUAAGCACAGGUAGGUUUUUUCCAUUUCUGUUUCUUUUCUAUUUUUCUGACAUUUGUUUGGUUUAAUAAAAAAUACUAAACCAUUUUAUUUUCUUAUGCCAAAUUUUGUAGGGGCUAGUGGUAUUAUUCCAAAGCUCCUCAACAACUGGCAUAAUUUUUGGACAAUAUUAUAUAUAUAACAAUAUAUAUCAAAAGUAAAUAAUUACUGCAUUAAUUCCAAAUGCCCAAAAUAAAUACUUAUGAGCUCCUGAAAAUAUUGGUUUAUCUCUGUUCAAUAUUUUCAGAGAGCAACAUGAACAUUUUCUUGGACCUUUUUGGAGCAAUUUUUAUCUGGGUCAUUUCCAGAAAUGAUUAUGAGGGUUUCAUAAUCCCCAUUUCAAAUUUAAAUGGAAUUUAAACAUGAAGCCCACAUGACUAGCUAGUCUAGGUCAUACCAGAACUAGGGGUGUGACAACUCGCCCCCACUUGAAAGAAUCUCGUCCCGAGAUUCAGGGGUCGACGGAAAGAAAGUGGGGUACUCCAUUCAAAGACGAUCUUCUUGCUCCCAGGUAGCUUCUCUCUCGGAAUGAUGAGACCACUGAACCUUGAGAAACUUGAUGUUCUGACGUCGGGUGACACGCUUUGCUUGAUCAAGAAUGCGAACAGGGUACUCUCGAUAUGUGAGGUUAUCUUGGAGAUCAAGCGUUUCGUGGUCCACUCUGCGGAUGGGAUCCGAGAAGCAACGCCUGAGUUGAGAGACGUGGAAGACAUCAUGAACUCGAGAAAGAUGUGGGGGUAGUUCCAACUGGUAGGCAAUGUCUCCUCGUUUAGCAAGAAUGCGAAAAGGACCAAUGUAACGAGGAGCCAACUUGCCCUUGAUAUCGAAACGAUGGGUACCCUUCAAAGGAGUAACCCGAAGGUAAGUUUUGUUGCCAACUUCAUAAGUCAUAUCCUUAUGAUGACGAUCAUACUCGCUCUUUUGACGAGACUGGGCUGUUUUCAAAUUUUCACGAAUGAUGCAAACUUGCUCUUCGGCCUCCUGGAUCAUGUCCGUCCCAAAGAAUGUCUUUCACCGGUUUCUGACCAGUUCAACGGUGUUCGAAAUCUUCGUCCAUAGAGAAUCUCAAAAGGAUCUUUCUUGAGACUGGAUUGAUCUAUUGUUAUAAGCAAACUCGGUAAAAGGAAGACAUUUCUCCCAAUCCAUACCGAAUGAGAUAACGCAAGCUCUAAGCAUGUCUUCGAGAAUUUGGUUGACCCUUUCCACCCGACCACUCGACUGAGGGUGGAAAGCGGUACUGAAGGAAAGACGGGUUCCCAUGCCAGUUUGGAAACUCUCCCAGAAAUGAGAAGUGAAAAGACUGCCACAGUCUGAAUUGAUCUCUAGUGGAACACCAUGAAGUGACACUAUUAGAGAAAUAUAUAAGUCCAUGAGCUGACUAGCAGUGAUACUCUCUCGAACAGGUAGGAAGUGAGCCACUUUGGAAAGACAAUCAACGACUACGAAGAUAGCGUUAUUCCCUUUCUUGGUCCUGGGAAAGCCGGUGAUGAAGUCCAUACCAACUUUAUCCCAUUUCCAUUCAGGAAUAGCUAAAGGCUGAAGGGUGCCAACAGGUCUCUGAUGCUCUGCCUUAAUGUGACUACAAAUGUCACAGUUAGCAAUAGACUGAGCAAUUUCUCUCUUCAUCCUAGUCCACCAGAACCUCUGGCUUAGGUCCUGAUACAUCUUAGUACUACCGGGAUGAAUUGUGAGAGGAGAUUCAUGCGCCUCCUUAAGAAUCAAUUGUCGUAGAUGUUGAUUCUUGGGAACCACCAAGCGAUUUUCAAAGAAAACAACACCGUGAACAUCCAUAGAGAAACAUCCACCAACUCCCUUCUUAAUGUUUCUCUUGAUCCGGGAAAUUCCCGUGUCCUUCUUUUGAGCAGCGAAAAUCCGAUCCUGAAGGUCAGGUUUAGCCACCAAGGUAGAAAGGAAUCCGUGAGGAGACGACCACUGAGAAGGCGGUGGCCGAGCUUGAGAAGGCCAAGCUUGUUGUUGAGCAGCAUGAGGCUCGAGUGACUAAAGUCCAAGUGGAGCUCCAAGAUGCCGCCGAGAAGCUGGAGGCCCUUGAGAAGGGGCAGGAGGAGCAAUCCUCGUGGCUAGGAAAGGUAGAGAAGGAGCUCCAGGAGGUGAGGACUGACUUGUGAGGUAUCCGGGAGGAGCUCCACCAAGCCGCACAAAUUGCAAAUGGUAAGAAAUACUUACUGUAGAGUGUGUUCGAAGGCAAUAGGUUCGCCCUGCUGACGCGGGUCUAAAGCUCCGCGGGCAUCUUCGCCGAACUUCUGAAGAAUGUGGCAGCCACAGCGAGGCACUAUGCCACCCUCGAGGAGGACUCCACGCAGCGGCUCUUCUGGUCAUAGUUUUCGGAUUCCGAGUGUCCUCCCCUCCUCAGUGAUAAAAUGAAGCAGCUGAUGGAGAUGCAUCGGAUGUCUGAAGGACCUCUGUGUUAGUCUGUGGCCUACUGAGCCCCUUCCAAACACCUACUUCGGCCUUGUGCAGAAGCUUUGGGAGGCGCUGCUCUGGAUUAACACCGUAAAGCGGUCAGCAUGCCUUAAGGGGGCAAGGCUUGCAUUCACGAAGACCAUGGUGCAUUGGCCGAGGAUUAAUCCGAUGGACAUGGCCACUGGUCCUCUGCCCAAGGGAAAGGAUCAUCGUCGCCCUGAACAGUACUUUGCACAGGUGAUGAAUGGCGCGUGGGCGAUAAAGGGCCAAUGUUCGAAAGAUGUACUAUUUGAGUGAUUGUGUUAAGUUUGUACCAAGUGGACCCUGUGCUUUGUAAUGCAUAUGCCUGACUUGUUUUAUAUUGUCAUGAUUUAAUUUUGACUCAUGUGAGGCCGUUUGUUUAUUCUGAAAGCUAUCAGUCGUCGGCUUCAGCCUCCAAGUGAAUAUCAUGAGGGGUGUUUUGUCUCUGCACUAUUACUCUUAGCCAACAUCUUGUUACCCGCAGGCGGUAGUGUGGGAGUGGGACUAGGCAAUCAAACUAUUCGGUUUUAUUGCUUUCACUUAGCCAUAGGAGCUUGACGGUGGGGACUAUGGACUAGCCCCCGGUGUGUUGUGAUGUACUUGGGGAUCAAAACCUGUCCUUUCUGAUCACAUGGUUUGUGUUAAGAUGAACCGUUCGCGUGACAUGGCGAAAUCGCCAACGAUUUUUAGAGUCAAACCUCGUCAUCGGAUCGCGGACCAGUUCGCGCUUGCUAUGACGGUCAAUUUUUGCCUUUUUCCUCCUAAGGUACUUGGCCGAGCAAACUAGAAGUACAAUCGCAGGGUUUCUCCCUUUGCCCUCUUAGCCGAACAUGCAGAACAUAAGAGGCAAGCACAGGAGCCAGGCAACCCAACUAUUGACCCAAGACAUACUUCGGAACAGAUGCAUAUAGUGCAAUAUCCGAGACGCCGAACACCUAGCGAAAAGCGGUGCCGGACUUGAAGAUAUUGAGCUGAUAUAAAAAUCAAACUCAUGACUAGUUAAUAUAUUUUCAUGUCGGGUUGUGCGAAGAGUGAGUGGAAAAUUAGAAAGGGGAUAAAAAAAUCACAAAAUGCGGAUAUCCGGAAACCAUAAAGGGCGCUUUUAUUAUUUCUUGUAACAUUAAGUCGUCUAACUGUACGAUUCGAACUGCCAAGGCAUUAUAAAAAACUAUAAGAGAUUUACAGAAUAAAGGUUUACGCAGGGCCUUGAUGCGUGAGUUGAAGCCUUCACUUUGCCCUGCUACACGCCUGUAGCUUUGCUUAUGGGAGGUGGGGGUUGGGACCUUUGAUGUGACCUUGAGGGGUGAGGAUCCUACCGAUGGAGCUUUGUGCUUGGGGGUUUCUGGAUUUGGCCCUCAGGUCGUCCGAGGAUGUCAGGACCCCGAUUCUAUGCCACACCGAUCUAGCAUGUAACACAUCAUAUCACUUUGCGGCCUCACGCACGGUAUUCCCACGGGUGUCGCCUUACCAUGCCCGGGACCGUUUGUGCCUUUUGGCACACGUAUAUGAUGGUGUCGCUAGCAUCCAUAUGACAAAGAACCCAGGCUGACAUGGCUAGUCGUGAACCCAAAGUGGCACUAACUUACAGGGACAAGCAUACAUGACCCAGCAACGAACGUGUCGGUCAUCAGCGAGUGAAUCCGGGCUAUAGCAGCUGGGCUAGCAGGACUCCAGAUAAUUUGGGCUGUAGCAGGCUAACAGGACUCCGGUAGACACCGCGUGACAUUUCCCCGAAGGGACAGACACAGGAACGAAGAAGGACACAUGCCGGCCAGCCUAAGUGUUCCGGAGCAGUAGCAAGCUACUAGGGCUCAGUGGAAGCACUAGGAGACAUUUCCCGGUAAGAGAGGCUACUAAGGAUAAACAACUAGAUAGUCAGAUCCCACACAUAGCAAUACACAUUACACAUACGCAUAACAUGCAAGUAUGUGCUGUACAACAUGGCAUCACAACAUAACUCAACACCUCAUAUAGAUAAAGGCUCAAAAGAACUAUCAUAGCAUUUAUUACAAACAUGGGUCACAUGACCCAACAUUCAGAGCAAACAAGCAACAAGCGGAAGCAUUACAUGUCUGAGUACAGACAUCUACAAAUGAAAAAGGCUGAAGAUCUUGACUUCUACAUCAGCUGAUCAAGAUCGUAGCCGAGGUACAAGCUACUUGUCGAAGUCCACAGAAACUAGUAAGACUGAAGUCUCCGCUGCAAAAACAUAAAUAAAGCAACAUGAGUACAAAGGUACUCAGCAAGACUUACAUCAGAUCCUAUCAUACAUGCAUAUGUAUCAAGAAGGUAAUGUGGGGUUUAGUUGCAGCAAGCCAGCUUUGACUCAGUGGCUAUCAUGUUCUACGACUACGAGAAACUUCUUGAGGUGAGACAACACACAUGAGUCCACUAAUCACCACACAAUACACCACUAUGGAUUCAUCCCCGUCUCCCUACCAGAAGGCCAUCCAUAGCACUCACACUUGUCUUGAGCAUUUUAGAGUAUCCACUUCAAGUUGUCUAUGUACCACGUAAGCAUCCAAGAAGUCCAUAUCCGCAGACCCGACUAUUCAAAUAGAUCAUGUUAACCCUGCAGAGGUGUACUUCUUCACACACGCUCUCGCCACUUACCGCCAUGUACACAUCAUGUAUCUCGGCAACCUUCAAGCGGAAGCCUAGGGAGGGUAUCAACCACGACCUGACUAACCACACAAGACUCUAGUCCAGGUUUAUCGCUUAUUCGGGUUCCAUCCGCAAGGAGAUCCGACCAAGGUGUCACUCAGGGCCCCAAACGAUGUGAGCAAGGUUCCCAAGCACACCAUUCGGGUGCCACUUGGUACACCGUGCCACCUGUGCCUAGUCUGUCCCAAGCCCACCCUGCUGGGUGCCACUUGGUAGAAAAAUAGCACUACCUACAAACACCAGAAACUAGCUGCGACUUCCGGACAGAGAUCAAGUUGGUUAAUAGGUUGAGAGGGCUUGGAGCGCCCGGAGCCCAAUGUGUGGUAGUAACUAGUCAUUGGACGACAUACAUAGAACUCAGUGCUUAAGGACGGUUCCAGUGAGACAACCCACCAUGUACUCCUACAUGGCCUCUCACUGCUACCUUUAUCAAAUCGUGUUCACACACUUCACUCUCAGCAUCAGAACAUAGCACUGUACUCCAAUUCAUUCCCAAUGAAUCAGACCUGACACACCCUAAGCAAUAGCAAGCAUGGCAUGGUAGGAACACAACAAUGGCUUCAAACAACUCCUACACAUGCUAGUGGGUUUCAACUAUUUAGUGUGGCAAUGACAGGUCAUGCAUAGGAAUGGGUUCAACUACCGCAACACAAAGUAGCAAUUGAAUCGUUGUUGUCCUAAUACAACAACUGAGAGCAGGAGCGAGAGAGUAGGAUUGUAUCAGAAUGAACAAGGGGGUUUGCUUGCCUGGUAGAUCAACAGGGUGGCACUGCUCCUCGGACAGGUACUCUCGAGCACUCUCUAGAGCAGGACCUAUCGAGAAUGAACGAUGUCGGCAAUCAAUACACAAGCAUAUUCAACAAUAUGAUGCAUGAACAUGGCAUGUAGAUGUGAUGCUGUUUGAGCUAAUGCAACUAGCAUUCUGUUUGAAUGAAGUCCAUUUGAACCAAGGGUUCAAAUGCAAGUCCAAACUUAACAUUCAAAAUGCCAUUCAUAUGUUUUCACCUAUACAACAGGUGUAGGUUGGUUUGUCAUGUAUGAAACUAGUACAGAUGGAUAGAUUGGAUUUUUUUGAUAAUUUUUCAUAUAUAAAUUAUUUCAAUCUGAGCUACGGUUAAAUUUCUAUGAUUUUUUGAAGUUUAUAGCAUUUUCCGGAAUUUCCUGAUUUAAAUUAAAUCCAGAAAAUAAAUAACUGCAUCAUGCUUGCGUCAGCAAGUCAACAACACUGACUGGGGUCAAACCUGACGUGUGGGGUCUACACGUCAGUGACACAGUGUUAAACAGGGGGGUUUUCUAAUCUAAUUAAAAGAUUAGGGCACAGGGGCCCACUGUCGGUGUGAGGGUUAUCUUAAAUGGUGAUUAGUGCUAAGCUAAUCACCUGGCCAACGGGGCCCACCUAUCAGGCCGGCGAGGUCGUCGCCGGCGACGACAUAACACGGUGGAGUCCGCGUUGGGGGCCACGGGGGCGGCGUCUGAGAGCACCGGGGCGUAGCCCGGGCUCAUCCACAUCCAGGGGAGCAGACGGGAGGCUGCGGGGGCGAAUGAGCUCGCCGGAGCGGAGCUCACGGCAGCGGCCGGAGCUCGGCUCGAGCGGCUUCGGGCAACAGAGCACGGGGAGGCAGGAGAGGAGCGGGAACAGACGUGGGGCUCACAGCGGACCGGAAGAGCAGCUUGGCUGCCUCGGGGACGCGCUGACGGCGGCGAGCGGCUAAGGAGAUCCACGGAGGCCGGAGGUGAAGAAGGCAAUGGUGACGACUUCACGGGGCGUCCGACGAUGCGUGGCUUGGCGGACAGGACGAGGGAGACAUGGCGGAGCUCGGGGACGGCUCAGAUGCUCUCGAGGGGCGUGGUGGCUACGGCUACGGCGAAUGGCGGCGACGGUGGCGCUCGGACGGGUCGGGAGAGAAAGAACCAGGGGAGGAGGGAGAGCGAGAGAGAGUGAGAGAGGUGCAUGGCGUCACGUGGCAUCGUCCGGGCAUUCGAGGCGACGAGAGGGAGAAGCAGGAGCUGGCGGGAGACGUUGCCGCUGGCGAGCGCACGCGCGACACGCACAGUGCCAGUAGGCACGAGGAAGAAGACAUAGGAGGAGGCGGGCUGGGCUGCUACUGGGUUGCACAGUGCUGGGCCAGCACAGGAGCUGGGCCGCAGGUAAGCACAGGUAGGUUUUUUCCAUUUCUGUUUCUUUUCUAUUUUUCUGACAUUUGUUUGGUUUAAUAAAAAAUACUAAACCAUUUUAUUUUCUUAUGCCAUAUUUUGUAGGGGCUAGUGGUAUUAUUCCAAAGCUCCUCAACAACUGGCAUAAUUUUUGGACAAUAUUAUAUAUAUAACAAUAUAUAUCCAAAGUAAAUAAUUACUGCAUUAAUUCCAAAUGCCCAAAAUAAAUACUUAUGAGCUCCUGAAAAUAUUGGUUUGAUUUUUAUCUCUGUCCAAUAUUUUCAGAGAGCAACAUGAACAUUUUCUUGGACCUUUUUGGAGCAAUUUUUAUCUGGGUCAUUUCCAGAAAUGAUUAUGAGGGUUUCAUAAUCCCCAUUUCAAAUUUAAAUGGAAUUUAAACAUGAAGCCCACAUGACUAGCUAGUCUAGGUCAUACCAGAACUAGGGGUGUGACAACUCGCCCCCACUUGAAAUAAUCUCGUCCCGAGAUUCAGGGGUCGACGGAAAGAAAGUGGGGUACUCCAUUCAAAGACGAUCUUCUUGCUCCCAGGUAGCUUCUCUCUCGGAAUGAUGAGACCACUGAACCUUGAGAAACUUGAUGUUCUGACGUCGGGUGACACGCUUUGCUUGAUCAAGAAUUCGAACAGGGUACUCUCGAUAUGUGAGGUUAUCUUGGAGAUCAAGCGUUUCGUGGUCCACUCUGCGGAUGGGAUCCGAGAAGCAACGCCUGAGUUGAGAGACGUGGAAGACAUCAUGAACUCGAGAAAGAUGUGGGGGUAGUUCCAACUGGUAGGCAAUGUCUCCUCGUUUAGCAAGAAUGCGAAAAGGACCAAUGUAACGAGGAGCCAACUUGCCCUUGAUAUCGAAACGAUGGGUACCCUUCAAAGGAGUAACCCGAAGGUAAGUUUUGUUGCCAACUUCAUAAGUCAUAUCCUUAUGAUGACGAUCAUACUCGCUCUUUUGACGAGACUGGGCUGUUUUCAAAUUUUCACGAAUGAUGCGAACUUGCUCUUCGGCCUCCUGGAUCAUGUCCGUCCCAAAGAAUGUCUUUCACCGGUUUUUGACCAGUUCAACGGUGUUCGAAAUCUUCGUCCAUAGAGAAUCUCAAAAGGAGCUUUCUUGAGACUGGAUUGAUCUAUUGUUAUAAGCAAACUCGGUAAAAGGAAGACAUUUCUCCCAAUCCAUACCGAAUGAGAUAACGCAAGCUCUAAGCAUGUCUUCGAGAAUUUGGUUGACCCUUUCCACCUGACCACUCGACUGAGGGUGGAAAGCGGUACUGAAGGAAAGACGGGUUCCCAUGCCAGUUUGGAAACUCUCCCAGAAAUGAGAAGUGAAAAGACUGCCACAGUCUGAAUUGAUCUCUAGUGGAACACCAUGAAGUGAUACUAUUAGAGAAAUAUAUAAGUCCAUGAGCUGACUAGCAGUGAUACUCUCUCGAACAGGUAGGAAGUGAGCCACUUUGGAAAGGCAAUCAACGACUACGAAGAUAGCGUUAUUCCCUUUCUUGGUCCUGGGAAAGCCGGUGAUGAAGUCCAUACCAACUUUAUCCCAUUUCCAUUCAGGAAUAGCUAAAGGCUGAAGGGUGCCAACAAGUCUUUGAUGCUCUGCCUUAACGUGACGACAAAUGUCACAGUUAGCAAUAGACUGAGCAAUUUCUCUCUUCAUCCUAGUCCACCAGAACCUCUGGCUUAGGUCCUGAUACAUCUUAGUACUACCGGGAUGAAUUGUGAGAGGAGAUUCAUGCGCCUCCUUAAGAAUCAAUUGUCGCAGAUGUUGAUUCUUGGGAACCACCAAGCGAUUUUCAAAGAAAACAACACCAUGAACAUCCAUAGAGAAACAUCCACCAACUCCCUUCUUAAUGUUUCUCUUGAUCCGGGAAAUUCCCGUGUCCUUCUUUUGAGCAGCGAAAAUCCGAUCCUGAAGGUCAGGUUUAGCCACCAAGGUAGAAAGGAAUCCAUGAGGAGCAAUGUGAAGGUUAAGCUUACAGACUUCCUCAUGGAGAAGUGGUUGGCCCUGCUGCAACAUGAGAUUGUUGCAAUAGGAUUUACGACUUAGCACAUCAUCCAUAACAUUGGCUUUGCCUGGAGUGUAAGUAAUCCCUAGAUCAUAAUCUGAGAUCACCUCCAACCAACGUCUUUGCCUAAGGUUCAAAUCUGGUUGCACUACAAAAAAAGACACAUCCGUGACAUUUUGGGCCGAACAAUUUUUUUUCCUGUCAUACAUAUGACACUUCUAUGACGAUAAUUGUGACAAAACCCGGUAUCAUCAUAGAUGUGGUGGGCUCCUACUUCUAUGACAAAAAAUCAUGACAAAAAAUGGGUUUUUCGUCCUGGGCGGGCCGGAGAUGCAGCUGCAUGGCAUUCUUUGGGCUGUCCAUGACGGAAAAAACCGUUAUAGAAGCGAGGGCGAGGAAAAUUUCAGGGAGUUCCCGGUUACGGUGGGUGGUCGAGGGCCGAGUGAUGCGCGUUUCUCUCGUACACAUACGCACGUGUGUGCGAGGCGUUGGCUCUAACUGAACCCGAGCAAGGCGUUGGGCUCUAACUGAACCCGAGCGAUUGCACUGCAGGCUACGCGUUACUGAACCCGAGCGAUCGAUUCCUUCGCUACUGCUGCUAAGUGAAACCGAUNNNNNNNNNNNNNNNNNNNNNNNNNNNNNNNNNNNNNNNNNNNNNNNNNNNNNNNNNNNNNNNNNNNNNNNNNNNNNNNNNNNNNNNNNNNNNNNNNNNNNNNNNNNNNNNNNNNNNNNNNNNNNNNNNNNNNNNNNNNNNNNNNNNNNNNNNNNNNNNNNNNNNNNNNNNNNNNNNNNNNNNNNNNNNNNNNNNNNNNNNNNNNNNNNNNNNNNNNNNNNNNNNNNNNNNNNNNNNNNNNNNNNNNNNNNNNNNNNNNNNNNNNNNNNNNNNNNNNNNNNNNNNNNNNNNNNNNNNNNNNNNNNNNNNNNNNNNNNNNNNNNNNNNNNNNNNNNNNNNNNNNNNNNNNNNNNNNNNNNNNNNNNNNNNNNNNNNNNNNNNNNNNNNNNNNNNNNNNNNNNNNNNNNNNNNNNNNNNNNNNNNNNNNGGAGUGGAUGAACCGGACCCGUGGCGUUGCCUCUGGAUGAACAGGAUCCCGAUCGAUCGAGCCGGUUGGGGCUAGAUGAACAAGACCCCGUGGAGGGCUGGAUGAACAGGACGACCCCGUGGAGGGCUGGAUGAACAGUAGACAGUAGAGGGGUGGAUGAACAGUAGCCCGUGGAGGGGUGGUUGAACAGGAGCCCGUGGAGAGGGUGGUUGAACAGUAGCCGGUGGAGUAGCGCGCGGUGGAGGCUGGAUGAACAGGAGCCCAUGGAUGAAUAGUCGCAGGUGGAGGCUGGAGGAGGUCGACGGUGGAUGAAUAGUAGCCCGUGGAGGCUGGAGGAAGUCAAUGGUGGAGAUGAACAGUAUCCUGUGGAGUCCGUUUUGCGGUACGCCACACCCCUCCCGAUGAACAGGACCCCGUUUCGUUUGUAGCGCUCCAACACAAGUCCGUUUCGUCCGUUUUGCGGUACGCCACACCCCUCCCGAUCAACAUGACCCCCGUUUCGACCGUAGGAGGUCCUUUCCUCCAUUUUGCGGUACGCCACACCCCUCCCGAUGAACAGGAUCCCGUUUCGAACGUGGCCGGUCGAACACAAGGCUGUUUCCUCCGUUCUGCGGUACGCCAGGCCUCGUUUCCAUCGCCUGUUCCGUUUAAGCCCUCCCGAUGAACACGACCAUGCAUUCCGUUCCGACCCAGCCGGUUGGCUCCCCAUGAACACGACGACGAUGUUGUUUCUCCGUUCUGACCCAGCCAAUGUACAUGAGCCCUGGCUGUACGUAUAUAUGCGCUAGUAGGCGUUCGAGACCCCGCCCGUAUGUACACUUACGUGGCCGUAUUUUCUUUCUUGCACCCUGGCCGCUGUAUGUAUGUGUACAUGCUAGUAUGCUACGUGCGCGCCUCUACUACGACACGUGUGCGCCUCUACUACGACACGUGCGCGCCUCUACAUCCACCAGUAUGUACGUACACGUUCGCGACCAGAAUGACAAUGCUACGUACGCUUCGACCAGGUGGGUCCCAACUGUCAGGCAAUUCCUUGCGUGCGAAGAUGUAGCUGGUGGAUCCCAGCAGUCAGGGGGGCGAAUCAUUUUUUUGCCCGGACGCACUUCCUUGCGUGCGAAGGUGUAGCUGGUGGGUCCCAGCAGUCAGCUGGCGAAUCAUUUUUUUUGCCCGGACGCACUUCCUUGUGUGCGAAGGUGUAGCUGGUAGGUCCUAGCAGUCAGGGGGGAAACGAUUUUUUUCGCGAAAUGCGGUGGCCCGUCCGGUGGGUCCUCACUGUCAGGUGGAGGAAUAAUUAUUUUGCGUGUAAUAAGGAGGAACUUCCUUGCGGCCGCUGUGGACCCAGCUGUCAGCCUCUCCACGUACAGUACUCUUCUGAUGGAAGUCGGUCGUUGACCACAUUGACCACGCCGCGCCGAGAGCACCAGGCAGUGGACGACGACGAGGCCUAGGAAGGGGACGACGCGGAGCCGGGGAAGACGCGGCAGUGGAUGCCCACGCGGAGAGGAGUACGACUUACGAGGGUUUACUGGUUCAUCUGCCUUCGCCGGAGAAUAACAGCAGGUGUGGGUCAAUAGAGGGAUGGCUAGGCCAGCGAUGGGAGUACGGUGGGGCGGUGAGGCCUGCGCGGCAGCACAGCCGGCCGCGGGGAGGAGGGAGCAGGCAGUCCCGCCGCCGCUUGUUUGAGCGGCUGGAGCAUGAAGAGCAAAGAUUGAAGAAGCACGAUAGCCGUUGGAUGGACAUCCAAUAGUCACUGCUCUCGUGUGUUGACUAAGUUGACAGGGCAUUGCGUGUGCGCCAACCUUUUUUUAUGUAAGCAUACGCGUCAACUUGUAGUAGGCGCACAAGUCAGCCUCAAAUCUGUGGAAAACAGCAGACAACCCAUCUGCCAUUAUUUCUAAUAAUGUACAGCCCAUUUGCUAAUUCUUAAGAAUUUUUUUGGAGCCCAUCUUCUUUUUGUUAGCAUUACACGCCAUAUUGUGGCCACGGUUAAAAAGUAUACGAAAUUUUGCAUAUUUCGGUGCGGUCAACUGUUUUUAAUCCAGAAAUAUCGAUUCACAUUCAAACUAUUUUGAAAAAUAAUUUAUAUAAAUAUAAAAUCCAAAUAGUUGUCCACGCAUAAAAAUCAAUGGAAUUUAAAAUCUUGUAAUGAAAAAUAUUGAAACUAAUUCCCGGUUUGAUGUGUUUUAAAAAUGUACAACCCAUUUCUGGGCAAACCGAAUGAAACUCUCCUCGUCUUGAAAGAUUUGCAGCCCAGCAGGGCCGAUAAAGCAAGUAGGCCUUGUUUGGGUAUUUAUUUUAAAAAAAUAGAACUGGGCUAGCCAUUUUCAGCAAGAAAAAAACACAAUGGGCUCAUGAUGUGGUAAACAUAAAUAAAACCCUGGCUAGACUGGCCACGACCCCCGCACAGCCCCGUUGUUACCCUGAUCCAUCGCUAAAACUAGUAUAAAUAACAACUGCUUGUUCCUCACACAAAAAAAA